AUUUUUAAAAUAACAUGCCAAAAGCAACUACACGUUGUUAACUUUGCGGGGCCAUGAAAAAUUUGAUAAAUGGCAUUUCUCAAGUUCUAAGAAUUUUAAGAUAAAUAAUUAAAUGAGGACCACGCAUUUAAGAUUUUUAUUUGGCGCGUCGCACCUCAGUUCCGAUUUUAAAAAGGGAAUGUAAACUAAAGUUCGAAAGCCCAUAAACUAUUUGUAUUGUCUAAUAUGACAGAACUCAACUAUUAACAAAAUCUUAAUUGAACAAUUAAAAAGGGAUUAGAGUUUUACUCAAACUGGCAAAAGAGCUAAGAAGGGAAGAGAUUCUAUUAUCUAUUAAAGUGGCUUGGGCCAUCACAGCAAUUAACGAGAAAUUGAAUUCAAAAAAGAUGGGCGAGUCUGUGUAAGUAGAGUACAUAAUCAAAUUUUGCAAAUGCCUUCAUGCCUAGGCCCAAAAGUGAGCCCACUUUUGCUAACCAAGGUGAAGGUCACCUGGCCAACCUUUAUUUCGUUGAUUGGGCCAGUAUUAAGCCCAAAUUUCGAACCAGCCUUCAUGCAGAUUAACUAUUUGCAAUUAAGAAGUUAUAUGAAACAUUAAGCAGAACUGACUCUUUGCUUCUGAAUUUUAACCAUUAGCCAACAUUCUGAACUAUAACCAACGUUUCCAUUUAACAUCUUAAACUCAGCAUCAAAUAAAUCAAUAGUUGCUUUUAACCCAAGAAUAUUGUGAACUAUUCACUUCCCCUUAAACAAGAUUUCAAUCCCCUAUUUAAGGUCGAAUCCUAUCCAACACAAGAACCUUCAAUAGGCUAUUAGCUCACCAUACGUAUCUAACAUUAAAUGCACUGAUAACAAACCAACAGAGAUUUAUGUUUGCAUUUAAUUUCUAAACUAAUCCCCACAAAUAAACAUAGAGAAUAUAAGCUCGCAUAAACCAUCAAAAUGACAAUUCUAACUAAGUAAGAUGUUGCAUAUUUCCAAGCUGCAAAGUGGAACCUCAGAUUAGAAGAACACUACCUUGACAUAAUUAAACAACAGUAAUGUCUAACAAUCCAAUCACAUGCCAGAUUCUAAACCUUAUUACAAUUCCAAAUUUCUAAGUUUAAACAUCUAUCUAAAUAACAGCCUUAAACCAACAUCAAUUCUAACUAUCAAUUUAAACAGCUCCAUUAGCAGUUUCAAUAGAAUAUUACAACCAUUUGAAUCACCAUAUCAAGUUACCACUUCACAUUUUUGUUCAUAAACUCACAAAAUCACCCAACCAACAACAAAUUAUUGCAGAUCAACUAAGUAUAGCACUAAUGUUUCAUUACAUCAGACUGAAAACCUGUGAAAGCUGUAAAUAACAUGCACGGCUCUUAACUAGUACAAAUGUAUUACUAAGAACAGGAAUAAACAAGUCAUCAAGCUCAAAGCAAAUUUUUUAUUUAACUAAGUUUCCACCACAUAAUGCAUGGAAAUAACUGUUUUUCCAUCUGUAGUUUAUGGAAAUAACUGGAGAAUGAAAAGAAACAAAGCAAAGUGAGCAGAGGUCAAGCUGCAGUAGAAAGGUAGCAGAAAUCAGCACCAGCAACACCAGCUCAAACCCAAAAAAUAAACCACUUUCAAAUUAACAAUGACCCAGCAAACUUCAAACCAGACUUUAAUGACUCGAAUUCAAUCCAUUUUUACCCCAAGGAAAAUCAAAACAUUUUCAGUAAUGGAAAACUUCAAAAACCACAGAAAAAAUCUAAUGGAACAAUGUUUUUACUAAACAUUUGACCUGUUUUUCUAGUUUUCAUAAUUUUUUCUUUUUUUUUUUGUGGUCUCUGAAAUCUUUUCAUAAAUCUCUCAAAACCUGCUCUAAAAUCUUUUCCAGAAAAAUCUCUAAAAUCCUCCUCCAAAAUCUAAAUUCAACUUCAAUUAGCAAUGCCUUUAUAGACAAGCUAUUAGGGCAGUCUUGAGGGUUAAAAGUUUACCUAUUGCCCCUUUUCCAAUUAUCAUUUUGCUACUUAAUCCCUAAAUUUUUGACUUGCUUGCAAAGUAAGGCUAUUUUUCAGCUUUUAUGAAGCUACAUACGCAGUUACCCAAAGAUUCCCUAAGUUAGACUACCCAAAUAACCCCUUAACGACCCUCAAAUUACCUCGCAAUAGACCAACUUAGGUCAAAUUGACCCAAGGCAGACCAGACAUGAGCCUUUAACAAAACCUGGAUUAAUCCAUUUCUUCGGGCUUUCAAACAAAGUCUGGGUUUCAAAACCCAAAAUCAAACAAACUUGAAAGAAUUUAGCACAAACCUUCAAAAAACGAACAAAAGCACUUUGAAAUAAAAAAAGGACUUCAUAACUAAAUAGCCCCCUUUACAUCAAAACUAAAAGAAAAUCAAACAAACUAAAACCACAUUAAAGGAAAUACGAAUUAACAAUUAGCAUGGAUUAAAGGGACACAUGCAGAAGUGAGUUUGAUAAAACAGAUGAAGAAAAGAUGAACGGAAACAACAAAGAAUAAAAAAUGAAAUAAAAAAUGACCAAAACAAAUCAUGCAAGACCAAACAAUGAACCGGAAUACCUAGCAAGGAUGGCCAACCUUGAAGUUCUUCCUCAAUCUCUCAAUUUUGACCAAAAGGGGUCUCAAUCAUAUGUUCUUAGAUGAAAACACAUUACCAAAGUCCAUUUUGGUCCUAAUCGUCACCAAAUCUGCCGAUUUUAAAGUUUAACAUUUUAGGUCUCAACUUCGACUUUAGAUUUGACAAGAUCGGGGCACAUUCGAGGAAAAAGAGUAAUAGAUUUAAGACGAGUGAGGCUUGACGGUCCUAUGAUGUUAGUUUGGGGUCGAAAGAAAGAGAAACUUUAUGGCCCAAAACUUCCCUUCUUCAAUCCUAAAGGCUUUUAAAAGGAGAAGAAAAGAGGAGACAGGAAAAUGAAAUAAUGUGGUCCAAGUUUCAAAUCUAAACAAAUGAGUUACAUUUGGACUAAGAGAAAGGGUUGUCUUGAGUGUUCAAGAGUGUUAUCUAAAUAUUAAUUUCGAUGGUCAUUCAACUUUUAAUUUAUAGCAUUAAAAUAAAUAAAAUGAAAUAAAAAUUUGUAUAAAAACGUCAAUCAACUUUGUCAAAUAGCACUAAAAAACUAUUUUCGUUUUCGACUUUAGUGCAAUAUUGGUAAGUGUUAGGCUAAGCUUUUCAAAUUCUAGAAGUAUUUUUUUGUUUCAAAAAAGUGAUUUUUUUUUCAAAGUUAAAGUGUUUAGCCAAAUUUUUGGAAGAAGAAAAAUGUUUUUAAGGAGAAGCAGAAGCAGUUUCAAAGAAGCAAAAAAAUAAUAAUUUUUCUCGAAGCAUACUUUUUUAAAAAGCACUUUUGGAAAAGAAAAACUUAUGCAUGUUUGGCCAAGCUUUUUUGUGUCAAAAGUGCUUUUUUGGCUAAAAAUACUUUUGUCUAAAAAUUGAGGUGUUUGGCCAAGUUUUUAGAGGGAAAAAGUGCUUUUGAGGAGAAGCGGAAGCAGAAGCAGUUUUUGAAAAGCAGAAAAAUGUAGCUUAUAUCCAAAAGCACUUUUCAGAGAAACAUUUUUGAGAAAAAUACAUUUAAAAACAGUUUUCAGAAGAUUGGCCAAACACGGAUUACUGCUUAAAAGUACUUUUCAAAUUAAUUAGCCGAACACAAGUCGAUUCUCAAAUAAAAAUAUUUUUUUGAAAAAUAUUUUUGGAAAAAGCACUUCUCAAAAUAAGCAAAUUUUAGAAGUUUGGCCAAACAGGCUAUUCGAAAUAGUUUACAAAAGUUUGAACAAACACUAAUUACUUUUCAAAAAUAUUUUUUAAAUUAAUUAGCUAAACACAAAUUAAUUCUUACCAAAAAUACUUUUGAAAAAAAAAUUUUUAAGAAAAAAUACUUGUCAAAAUAAGUUGAUUUUUUAUGCGUGAGUUAUAGCCUUUAGUUAGGUGAUUGUUUGGAUCACUUAUAGUGAUGGUUAGGGUAAGCCUACAUUACUUCGCUUCCCUAUGUGCGUGUUAAAGUUUUGUAUAUCUAUAAAUUUCCAAGAAAUGGAAAAUUGAGAAAUGUUGUAAUAAGAACCUAUUGAUGUAAUAAAUAAUUUUGGCACACAAUACGUGUUAGGAAGACAUACCCCAACCCAAAUAAUAUUGCACGUGAUGCAAUUAAGAGUUCAUACAAAACUACUUCGCAUUCGUCUGAACUCCAUAAUAGCUUAGUAGUACGAAAAUUUGUGAAUUUUUAAAUAAAUUUUUAAAAUUGCAUUGUGAAAGAGCAUGUAUAAGUAGUUGUAUACUUACCAUAAUCAAUUCCCUCAUAUACUUUCACAAUUCGUAUCAUAACUCGAGCCAAUGCUCCUCGAAGUUCAAAGAUCAUAAUUUCUUUCACAUGUUUUUUAGAACAUAUCAAAAUCUACAUUUCGGCAUGAAAGGUACAACAAAAUAAGAAUAUUCGCGAUAUAAAGACUCACAGUCAUGCUAGACACUAACGUAUAGAUACUAGUCACCAUGCCUAUAUGUCGUAUCCGACAAUUAGCAAUAACAAUUAAGAAUCAAAUCAUAUUCCCUUAAGCUAAGGUUAGACCAAACACAUACCUCAUACUUCCACGUCCAAUUCAAUCCUCAACAAGCACCUUUCCUCUCGAAUUCGGCUCCAAAUAAAUCAAAUCUAUACAUAAACGACUUCAUAACGUCAAUACAUGCUAAACAAAUUGAAUCCAACGCCUAAUAAUAGCUUUCCAAGCAUUCUUCCCAAAAACACAAAGAUCGACCCCUAGGCCUGCUUGGUCAAAUUACAAGGUUUGAACCAAAAUCAAAUCCCCCAUUCACUCAUGAUCUCGAAUAAAUAAUUUGUUUUCAAAUUCGACCCCAAAACGAGGUCUAAAUCAAGAAAAAUUAAAAAAACUCUAACUCUACUCAAAUCCCGAGUUUCUGCCCUUAAUUACAUGUUUUAGGCUUAGGAAUUAUUAGAUGUUGAACAAGCUGGAAGGAAACAAGCAAGGAUUACUAACCCAAGAAGUCUUUGGUGAAGGAUAGUUUCAAUGGAUGCCUAAGGACCUUGGAGAAGAAGGAGUUUGUGAAUGUUUAUGAAAAUCCCGCAAUAAUAUUGUUCUGUAAAUUAAAAAUAUAACUAGGCGAAAUUUCCCUUCGCGUUCGUGAUAGGCUGGUCGCGCUCGCGAAGGGUAGCAUUUAACAGACCAUCGCGUUCGCGAGAUGAAGAAUGCGAACACGGAGAGUAAAAGGCCUGGGGUCCAGAAAUUGACCGACGCGAAUGCGUGGGCCCUCACGCGAACACGAUGCAUGAGUCCUGCAAGCCUACAUGAUCGCGAGCGUAUUAAUGCGAAUACGAAGAGGAAAAGAAUGAAACCACUCUAAAACACCUCCGAUACACUCUCGAGCCCUCGGGGCUCCAAACCAAACACGUGCACUAACUCAACAACAUCCCACAAACUUAACCGUGUGAUCAAAUCGCCAAAUAACAUCAAAAUCAAUGAAUCAAACCUCAAAAUCAAGAGUUUUUCUUCAAACUUCAUUAAGUUUCAAAAUCAGAACUUUAAGCCUGAAACAUGUCAAACGACGUCCGAUUUUAACCAAACUUUACAGAAAUAUCUUAAAUCACAUAUAAGACCUAUGUUGGGUGCCAGAAUAGAAAUACGAGCCAGAUACCAACACGUUCUAAUCAAUUUUCAUUUCAAUUUUCCUUAACAAUUUCAGAAAAACAACUUCCUUUAAAAAUUUAUUUCUCGGGCUCAGGACCUUGGAAUUCGAUUCUGGGCAUACGCCCGAGUCUCAUAUUUUCCUACGGUCUCUCUGGGACUGUCCAAUCAUGGGUCCAGGUCCAUUUUCCCAAAAUGUUGACCGAAGUCAAAUUUAAUUCAUUAACAUCAAAAUUUAGCAUUUUUAACAAAAUUUCACAUUUAAGCUUUCCGGCUAUGCGCUCGGACUGUGCAAGAAAAUCGAGGCAACUCUAAUUAAAGUUUUGAGGCCUCGAAAGCACAUAAUGGAUAAAAAAAUAGGUGAUGACCCUUUGGGUCGUCACAUUCUCCACCUCUAAAACAACAGUUCGUCCUCGAGCGGACAGAAGAACGAAGUACCUUAGUUGGGGAACAGAUGAGGGUAACGGAUCCUCAUAACAGACUCGGACUCCCAGGUUGAUGCCUCUGGAGGCUAACCUCUCCACUGAACACGAACAGAAGAGAAACUCUUGGAUCUCAACUGGCAAACCUGUCGGUCUAGAAUAGCCACCGACUCCUCCUUAUAAGACAAGUCCUUAUCCAAAUGGACAGUGUCGAAAAAUGACAUGUGGGUUGGAUCGUCGCGAUACCUCCGAAGCGUGGACACGUGAAACACUAGAUGUACGGCUGAUAAGCUCGGUGGAAAAGCAAGUCUAUAAGCCACCUCUCCCAUUCGAUCAAGAAUCUCAACGGACCAAGGAACCUGGGGCUAAGCUUGCCCUUGUUCCCAAAUCUUAUCACGCCUUUCAUAGGCAACACUCGGAGCAGUACCCGCUCACCAACCAUGAAAGCCACAUCUCGAACCUUGCAGUCUACAUAGCUCUUUUACCUGAACUGAGUUGAACAAAGCCUAUCCUUAAUGAUCCUGACCUUGUCCAAGGCCUCCUUAACCAAAUCCGUACCCAACAACCGAGCCUCUCCUUGCUCAAACCAUCCAACCGGAGACCAAUAUCUCCUACCAUAUAAAGCCUCAUAAGGAGCCAUCUGGAUGCUCGACUGGUAGCUGUUGUUGUAGGCAAACUCCGCAAACGGUAAGAAUUGAUCCCACGAACCUCCAAAGACAUUAACACAAGCUCGGAGCAUAUACUCUAAAAUAUGGAUAGUCCGCUCGGACUAACAAUCUGUUUGGGGUGAAAUGUUGUGCUCAACUCAACCGUGUGCCCAACUCUCGCUGAACUGCUCUCCAGAAGCGCGAGGUAAACUACGUACUAUGAAAAAAAAUGAUAGACACGGUCGCACCAUAAAGGUGAACAAUCUCCCGAAUAUAGAUCUCAGCAAACCUCUCAGAAGAAUAGGAGACUGCCACAAAAAUUAAAUGUGCUGACUUGGUCAGCCUAUCAACAAUGACCCAUAUCGCAUCGAACUUCUUCCGAGUCAGCGGAAGUCCAGUAAUAAAGUCCAUAGUGAUCCGCUCACACUACUACUCGGGAAGCUCAAUCCUCUGAAAUAAACCACCAGGCCUCUGAUGCUCGUACAUAACCUGCUGAUAGUUCAAACAACGAGCCACAUAUACUACAACCUCUUCAUUCUACGCUACCAAUAAUGCUUCCGCAAAUCCUAUACAUCUUCGCCGCAUCCGGAUGAAUAGAGUACCGAGAACUAUGGACCUCAUCCAAAAUAAACUUUUGGAGGCCAUCCACAUUAGACACAUAUACUCGACCCUGUAAUCUCAAAACUCCCUCACCAUCCAAGGUAACAUGUCGUUUCUUUAUGGACACACAAAUGGGGAUCAUCAUACUGGCAAUCGUGGAUACACUCCAAUAAUGAGGAGCGAGCGAUCGUGCAAGCUAACAUACGACUGGGCUCAAAAACAUCACGAACUGAUUGGCUAAGGCCUGAAUAUCCAAAGUAGGUGGCCUCUCACCGACUGGAAUAUAAGAAAGACUGCCCAUACUGCCUGACUUCCCACUCAAUACGUCGGCCACCACAUCGGCCUUCCCCGGGUGAUAUAAGAUACUGAUGUCAUAAUCAUUCAGCAAUUCCAACCACCUUCUCUGCCUCAAAUUCAACUCCUUUUGCUUGUACAAGUACUGGAGACUCUUGUGAUCAGUAAAUACCUCACAUGCCACACCAUACAAAAUAAUGCCUCCAAAUCUUCAGUGCGUGAACUAUGGCUGCCAACUCCAAAUCAUGAACAUGAUAGUUUUUCUCAUGAAUCUUUAACUGCCUCGAAGCAUAUGCAAUAACUUUGCCAUCAUGCAUAAAGACUGCUCCAAUCCUGACACGCGAAGCAUAACAAUAGACUGUAUAAGGCCCUGAACUCGUGGGCAAAACCAACAUCGGUGUUGUAGUCAGAGCUUUCUUGAGCUUUUGAAAGUUUGCCUCACACUCAUCCGACCACCUGAACUGGGCACCCUCCUGGGUCAAUCUGGUCAUCGGGGCUGCAAUAGAUAAAAACCCCUCCACGAACCAAUGAUAUUAACCUACCAAUCCCAAGAAACUCUGAAUCUCUGUAGCUGAUGCUGGUCUAGGCCAGUUCUUGACGGCCCAAAUCUUCUUUGGAUCAACCUGAAUAUCCUCUGCUGAUACGACAUGACCCAGGAAUGCAACUGAACUCAGCCAGAACUCACACUUCAAAAAUUUAGCGUAUAACUGACUAUCCCAAAGGGAACUCACAUACAACAGGCACAUAAUCAGUAGAAGGAACCUCAGCACUAGAAUCACGAACAUAUGCCAAUUAGGCCCAACACCCCUUCUCNNNNNNNNNNNNNNNNNNNNNNNNNNNNNNNNNNNNNNNNNNNNNNNNNNNNNNNNNNNNNNNNNNNNNNNNNNNNNNNNNNNNNNNNNNNNNNNNNNNNNNNNNNNNNNNNNNNNNNNNNNNNNNNNNNNNNNNNNNNNNNNNNNNNNNNNNNNNNNNNNNNNNNNNNNNNNNNNNNNNNNNNNNNNNNNNNNNNNNNNNNNNNNNNNNNNNNNNNNNNNNNNNNNNNNNNNNNNNNNNNNNNNNNNNNNNNNNNNNNNNNNNNNAUGAUUAUGACAUCAGUAUCUUAUAUCACCCCUUCUCGACCAUAUGUCAAGCCUUCACAUACGAGAUAACACUGCAGGUAGAACGACCUGGAGUCCCUGUCCAGUCUAAGCAAAGCAUACCCGAUAAAGCUAAGGCCACAAUCUUGUCAUAACAAUCCAAGAUAACGCGAUAAGGUGAUAAUCGAUCCAUCCCCAAUAUAAUGUCGGAAUCAACCAUGUCCAAAAGAAGCAAAUCUACAUGAGUCCCAAGACCUCCAGUAUCCACUAUACAUGAUCAAUGAAAAUGAUCCACCACAAUAGAAUCACCCACCAGCGUAGACAGGGAAACUCAAAGAAUCACUAUGCAUGACCAGAUAUGGCGCAAGAUAAAACUGAAACUUCUCUACCAUAACCCAAAACAGUACCUACACCUCCACCUCUAAUACAUUUACCUCCACCUCUAGCAUCUCCACCUCCACCUCUAAUACCUCUACCUCCACCUCUAUCUGACUGAGCGAGCUGGAUGAAUCCCUCAAUAAACCUUGUCACUCUUUACCACAGUGGGAAGUAUGAUAAGAGCAUGACGAGCCAAGACAAUAUAUCUGAUCUCAUACGGAGUACCGGUCAUAGAGUCUUGCUGGGGAAACUACCUCCGAUAAACCUCCCUCUAAUUAAUGGGAAGAAACUUCUCCAGAAAUAGCUGCGCGAACUAUCCUCUAGUCAAAACUGACAAUCCGGCUAGUCUAGCUAAGCAAUAAUUCCUCCACCAAGUCUUGGCGGAUCCAGACGAGCAAAAUGUGACAAAAUCGACCCCAUUGGUCUCCACGAACCCCAUGUCCCUGAGAACGUCAUAACAGUCAUCUAGAAAAUCUUGGGGAUCCUUAAAAGAUGCACCACAGGAAAUAGUACUAAAAAGCUUGGUGGCACCUAUCCAACCUCCGCAAGCCUCCAAAGACAUAGACGAUCUAUCACCAAUCUAUGCUAUUACUCGGCUGAAGAAGCAGUACAUGACCUUACCAUUCGUGAUAGAACAGAGUAUAAAUCCAAUUAGUAUUGAGAAACAAAACCACACGACAAGAAAGAAUAACAUGGAAUUUCCUAACGUUGUAGCCUCUAUGGGAUAAACACAGACGUCCCCGUACCGAUUCCUCAUAAUCUACUAAGAUUUUCCAUGAACUGUGAGACCUAUGUAACAAGAGCUCUGAUCGCAUCUUGUCACGAUCCGGAGUUCCCAUCUUCGGGAGUCAUAAUGGCGCCUACUAAGGUGAGCUAGACAAACCAAUCAUUUGAAUAAUUUAACUUUCGACCUAUUUGAUAUUCUUUAUCAAUUAUGAAGAAAUAACAUUUAAACAGUGGAAUUUAACAUAAGUGGAAGAAGAACAAUAAUUAUCUGAACAUAAACAACUAAACAACUAUUUGAGUCCCGACUAUCCAGACCUGGUGUCACAGUUUCACAGAUGGUCUAAGAAAUCUACAAAUAAAGGUCCAAAAGAAUUAAAUACAAUACUAUCUCUAGAAAUACAUGUAAGAAACAGGAGAGUAGAUAGAAAGAGAUAUCAGGGCAUGCGAACACCUGAGGGCUACCUCGGGUCGUGUGAUGAGGAAGAUCCAGCAAUCUCACUGCGGUCUGAAAUCUACAGCACUAGGGUCUGCACAAAAAAGUGCAGAGUAUAGUAUCAACACAAUCGACACCAUGUGUUGGUAAGUGUCCAGCCUAACCUCAGCGAAGUAGUGACGAGGCUAGGACCAAACUCCAGAUAAACUUGGGCAGUUAUAUAAUAUAUGUCGGAAAUGUAAACAGGUAGUAAGCAAUUAGAGUUGGGGAAGGGAAACACGCUGCGGGGGUGGCAGAUAAUUAGAAUAUCAAAGAACAAUAAGGAAACAGUAAAUUUAACUUCUAACACAGAUAAGGAGAAAUAAAGGCAACUUUCACUUUCAAUUUCAUUUUUUUACAGGCGUGCUACCCGAUCCCAUUUCUCAUAUCUCGUGGUAGGCGUACCACCCGCUCCCACUUUCAUAUACUAAUAGUUCUUGCAAAUGAAAUUACUCCAACAACCACAAUAAUUAAUGCAAAUUUGUAAGACAACAAAGUGCACAAUAAUUACGAUUCACUAAGGAAAACAAAUAAUGACAAGUAGCAAUUAAUUAUGGCCUUUAAGGAGCAAACAGGCAAUUUAAUAUUUAGUAUGCUAAAUGGCAAGUUGAAAUUAAGUCACAUAAACACAUAGCAAUUAUAGCAUGAAUUCAACAAUAACUAGUGACACGAUAAAGGAAAAUGCCAACAUAAAGAAUCACAAUAAUUGUGGAAUACGACAAUUAAUGCACUCAAACUGAUAAUAAAUAAUCAUAACAAACAGCAGUAAGUGCACGGCAUCACCCUUCAUGAUUUAACACUCUCUCACCAAAAUAAUACAUGGAAUCACCCUUCGUGCUUUACACUCUCUCACCAAAACAAUACACGACAUCACCCUUAGUGCUUUACACUCUUCCUCACCCAAGCAACAAUUACAAAGCAAUAAGGGUAAGGGAAUCAAUGACAUCACCAUAAAGUCAAGUAACAACAGAAAAUCAGUAAAAUAAACUUAAAGAACAACAUAACUCAAUUAGCAGCAAGAAUCGGGGAAAUCAAGGACAAGUGCACAGCAUCACCCUUUGUACUUUUACUCACAUCCUCACCAAGCAAUGAUAUAAUAAAAUAUGCAUGGCAUCACCCUUCAUGAAUUUACUCUCUUUUCUCACAUAUAAUCAAUAUAAUUAUCACAGAGCGGUACAUCAUGUGGCACGACAUCACCCUUCAUGCUUUAACACUCUUUCUCACCCAAACAACAGUCACCAAAAAUGGGCAAGAGAGUAAAAAACAAUAAAAGCAAUACCGGCAAGGGAGAACAAUUAAGCUAUUAAAUCCCGGCAAGGUACAACGUCAAUAAUCUCAACAUCCCGACAAGGAAAAAUAAUCAAUAAGCAAUAAUAUCCCGGCAAGGGAACAAUUUAAAUACUCUUUCUUUUUCUUUCACUUUUACUUCAUAUCUCACUUUACCACUUGAGCCAAUGCUCUAAAGGGUUCAAUUACCUCAUAUACUUUCACAAUUCGUAUCACAGCUCGAGCAAAUUCUCCUCGAAAUUUAAAGAUCACAAUUUCUUUCACAUGUCCUUUGCAACAUAUAGAAAUCAUUGUUUAGGCAUGAAAGGUAUAACAAAAUAAGAAUAUUCGCAAUAUAAAGACUCACGGUCAUGCUAGACACCAACGUAUAGAUACUCGUCACCAUGCCUAUACGUCGUACCCAAAAAUUAGCAAGUAGCAAUUAAGACUUAACUUCUAUUCCCUUAAGCUAAGGUUAGACCAAACACUUACUUCAAACUUCCAUGGUCAAUUCAAUCCUCAACAACCGCCUUUCCUCUCAAAUUUGGCUCCAAAUUAAUCAAAUCUAUACAUAAACUACUUCAUAAUAUCAAUACAUACUAAACAAAUCGAAUCCAACACCUAAUUAUAGUUUUCCAAGCACCAAAAUCCCAAAAUCGGCCCCCGGGCCUGCUUGGUCAAAACACAAGGUUUGGAGCAAAAUCAGAUCCCCCAUUCACCCACGAUCCCGAAUAUAUAAUUUGUUUUCAAAUUCGACCCUAAAACAAUGUCCAAAUCAAAAAGAAAAUUAAAAAGCCGUAACUCUACUCAAAUCUCCAAUUUCUACCCUUAAUUACAUAUUUUAGGCUUAGGAAUUUAUUAGAUGUUGAAGAAAAUGGAAGGAAACAAGCAAGGAUUACUAACCCAAGAAGUCUUUGGUGAAGGAUAGCUUCAAUGAACGCCUAAGGACCUUGGAGAAGAAGGAGUUCGUGAAUGUUUAUGAAAAUCCUGCAACAACAUUUUUCUGGAAAUUAAAAAUAUAAUUGGGCAAACUUUCCCUUCUCGUUAGAGAAAGGCUGGUCGUGUUCGCGAAGGGUAGCAUUUAACAGACCAUAACAUUCACGAGAUAAAGAAUGCGAACGCGGAGAGUAAACGGGUUGGGGUCCAGAAAUUGACCUACACGAAUGCAUAGGCCCUCACGCAAGAGCGAUGCAUAAGUUCUGCAAGCCUACGCGAUCGCAAGGGUAUGACUUCGAAUGCGAAGAGGAAAAGAAGGCUAAGCCCCCUAGGGUAAAAUAACCCUACGCGAACAGCAGAAGCAAAAUCUACAAUUUUUCUAAGUUUGAAACCACUCCAAAACACCUCUGAUACACUCCCGAGCCCUCGGGGCUCCUAACCAAACACAUGCACUAACUCAAAAACAUCCCACGAACUUAACCGUGCGAUCAAAUCACCAAAUAACAACAAAAUCAAUGAAUCAAACCUCAAAAUCAAGAGUUUUUCUUCAAACUUCAUUAAGUUUUAAAUUUAAAACUUUAAGCCCGACACAUGUCAAACAACGUUUGAUUUCAACCAAACUUAACAAAAAUAUAUUAAAUCACAUAUAAGACCUGUAUCGGGCGCCAGAACCAAAAUACGGGCCCGAUGCCAACAUGUUCUAAUUAAUUUUCAUUUCAAUUUUUCUUAACAAUUUCAGAAAAAUAAUUUCCUUUAAAAAUUCAUUUCUCACGCUCGGGACCUUGGAAUUCAAUUCAGAGAAUACGCUCGAGUCCCAUAUUUUCCUACAGGCCCUCUGGGACCGUCCAAUCACGGGUCUAGGUCCAUUUGCCCAAAAUAUUGACCGAAGUCAAAUUUAAUUCAUUUUAACACCAAAGUUUAGCAUUUUCACAGAAUUUCACAUUUAAGCUUUUCGGCUACGGGCCCCGUAUAUGCACGCAAAUUGAGGCGACUCUAAAUAAGGUUUUGAAGGCCUUAGAAGCACAAAAUGGAUAAAAAAAAAUAGUUCAUGACCGUAUGGAUCGUCACACCUGUUAUUCAUUUUAUAAUCGAGAGAGACGGGAGAGGUAAUAAGGUUAGCAGUGGUGUUGAUAAGUGUUGACUUUAUUUAAUUACACCUAUCUGUUUGGUGUUAUGAUUUGAUUUUAUACUAAUUCUUAAAUCGAAAGAGGUGAAUAGUAUGUAAUUCAAGUUAUAAAAAGUAAGGUAACCGAAAGUGAUUUACUUUGAAAAAAUAGCAUGUUUCAAUUCAAACAUGUAUUUCUGGUUCUUUAAUAUUACUAUCUUGAUAAUUAAUUUGUAUAAUCGAGAGGAGUGCAGUUCAUUAUUCAAUUUAAGUGAUCAUAAUAAGUGUCAUCGAGAGAGGCAUUUAUGCAUUGUGUGAGAAAUAGAGACUAAAAAUAAAUAUAUCCUUUUUAGAAUUAUCAAAUGAAAUCAGGAUCCCAACAUCUUUAUCAUAUUGUUAAAAAAAAAAUACUUUUCUCUACGGUUUGUUUGUUCAUUAUAUGCAAUUGUUAACUCUCAACUCAACUUUUAUGGUUCUCUCAAAUAGUAAAUUAAACAAGAACAGUUUGUAAAAUAGAGAAACCAAUCUUUAUGGGAUCGACAUCUUUCUAUAUUAUAAUUUGACAGAGUACGAUUUUAAAUUCAUAUACGCUAGACGCUCAUCACUUAUUCUAAAAGGAAUAAAAUAACUCCUACUUCAAGAGUUAAAGAAUCUGGGCUUCUUGAAAUCAGUCUUGCGCUUCCUGAAAAUAAUUCCAUCUGUUUGGACUUGAGCUCUAAAACAUGAUCUUGGCCAAAAUUAAUAAAAUAUAACAUUGACUCUCCAUUUACAUCAUGCAUGUUUUAUAUCUUUUGUCAGGGGUGUAAUCGUCAUAUUAUUAUGGUUUUUUUGUCAAUUGGCUACAAAAUCAAUAAUUUUUAAAAUAAGGUACAUGUUAAAAGGUGGCACCAAUAUAAAGUACGUAAAAAUAGCAUGGUAUAGCUAGUUUUUGAACCGUUCAUUCAAAAAUAACCAGACAGUAUAUAGGAACAGAGGAAGAGACUCCAAGAAAGCAAACUAAACUAUAGAUACUAAAGUUUCCCUACUAAAGGGGUUGGCUUCAACAACCCAUAAGGGACGGGUUACCAAGCUACACAAACAAUUAAUUUGCUUAUAGUCACAAAAGUUUUCCUACAUAAAGGGGCUAGCUUCAACAACCCAUAAGGGACGGCUUGCCAAGCUUCACAACUCAGAAAACAUUUGUACUAUAACCAAUGUUAGUUGUUUAUAACUCAGAAAAAUUUCAUACUACAAUAAGCUAACUUUCUCAGAGUAUUCUUACUCUAUUUUUUCAUACAUGGACCGACCUUUCCAUCCAUUCGAAAGAAAGAACAAAAGAGAAAUUUAUAAAGCACUCAUAUGUAAUAUAUCACAAAAGAUUUACAAAGGUUACAAGAUGAUUGUAAGAUGAUCCUACAACUACUAUAAGUCCUCCUUUAUAUAGGGCUAGGAGGUUAUUACAAGAUAAACUUACAUAAUAAAAUAAACCUAUCUUACAUGGAAAACGUAUCCUACAAGUGGGUCCUUCUAAGCAUGUGAAUGACUUUAGGCAAAACAACAAAAAAACACAUGAAAACGUGUGAAAGGGGUGAAAGAUACAUGGUGUAGCAUGUGAAAGUAUGUGGGAGCAUGUGACGCCAUGUGAAAGUAGGGUGUUACAUGUGACGAAGCAUGUGGAAGCAUGUGAAAACAAGUUGAAGUGGGGCCCUGAUAGUAUAGAAAGAUAUGAAAAAUUGUCUUGGCAUGGGUAGGAUACUUUUGAGGGUUUUUUUGGUGGCUAAUCUGGGAUUAUGGUAUGUUUAGGAGGGAUUUAGGUAAUUAUUCUUCAUUGAUUCUAGGGUUAUCUUCUAGGCAUCUUUUCAAAGACCUUGUAUAGUAAUGCCUGGAAUUUAACAGCCCUUCUUUGUUGUGUUCUUUCUCCUUUGGAUUGAGAGAUAUAAUCCAUAACCUUAAUCUGGAAAUAUCUUCAGUGAUCUUUUCUCGGAUGACUUCGUAUGGGGUUUGUCAUUCUAUUGCUACUUCCCAGACUCUUUCCUAGUGAGGAUGAUUGCUUGUAUAGUUCUAGCUUGCCCAAUCUUUUGGUCAUAUCUCUCUCGGGAUGCACCUACUUUUUUGAAAAAGGAUUCUUUGUGUCUCUCUAUAUUGUUCUUCCACUGAUAAAAUUGACACGGGAAAUUUCCACCAGAAUGAUGUCACUGCUUGCACCUGGACUUUUCCAUUAAUAAUCUUUACUGUCCUAUCAAACAUGAAUACCUUUGCUUUAUAGGAAUCAUUGAAGCAUUUUAACCAAUAUCUUCUAGGUUUGAACAAUAGCAAAGAAUACUUUAAGACCUGGUGCAAUGUUAUCAAAAUCCUUGAAGACGUUGCAUUUGAAUUCCAUGAAAAUAUAACACUGAUGGCAUAGGCACCAGAAAAACCAUAAUAGUUCUUGUAAAAAAUCCUUGGCUUGAGUUGUGAAUAUAUGGAAAAGUGGAUAUUCUGGAUUGACCCUAUAUGGCUUAAGAAUGGAUCCUCCAUGUUACCGAAAUACUUGGAGCUCAUAAUAAGUUCUUCUUUCCAUAAAAAUUGACGGAUCAAACGGAUCCAUGAGGAUGUACAACUCCGGUAGAUGAUCUUUUUGAUGUGAUGAACUUGUUCCUGGCAUACUUGAGAGCAUGAGGAUGUGGCUGAUUAUUUGUUGCUUUGACUUUAAUUUAACAGGGGAAAAUCUCUUUGAGAAUUCUUCCGGUCGAGAUUGAAAAUCUGUGAGAAUAUUAUCUUUUCCUUUCAAGUGCCUGCCUUGAAACGUAUAUGGAGAAAACCAUUGAGCCCACAUGAGAAUCUCAAGAUUGGGAAUAGUUUUUGCAUUUAGCUGAAUGAUCUUCAUGAAAGCCUUCAUAUCCAUUUCUAUCAGAAAUUCUGUGUGAAUAAGGAAAAAAUUAAAUUUCUUGAUUCCAUUCUUUACUGCAAGAAUUUUAUUGAAAGUGGAAUGAUAACGUUGCUCGGCAUCUUUGAACUUUCCACUAGCGUAUCCGCAUAUUUUUCUCUGGCCAUCUUUUUCUUCAAAUAGAACAGCACUCCAAUAUUCAUUGCUGGCAUCAGUUUGCAAUAUCUUCUUACCGUCUGAAAUGAUAUAGAAGGACUUGACAUUUUUAGAAAUCUCCUUUAUUUCCUUGAUUGCAACAUCUUGCUUCUUUUCCCAUGAUGGAGCCUUUUACUUGAGCAUCUAUGUGAGUGGAGAAAUGUAUGUAGAUAUAUUCAAGAUAAAAUCUCUCACAUAAUUUACUAUACCCAAGAAUUAUUGGGUCUGUUUUGUUGUGAGGUUGGUAUCCAGAAAUUUGAGUAAUUUUUUACAUAUAUAUGGUCCUAGACUGUAAUCACCUUGGACAAAAUGCAUUCCAAGAAAAUAAAUCUCCUUUUGAGCAAGGACCAUCUUUUUUGCUGAGAGCGUGAUUCUGUACUAUGUUACCAAUGCCUCAAAUUGAUUAAGCAAGUUGAUAUGUUCCUCUAAUGUAUAACUAAAUAACAGGAUGUCAUCAAUGUAAACUAAAGAGGUAUGGAGGAUGGUUUGGAAUAUUAUUAUCAUGGCUUUUUGGAACAAGGAAGGUGCAGUUUUUAACCCGAAGGGCAUGACUUUCCAUUGGAAGUGAUGAUCGGGGAUGCAAAAUCCAGUUUUGGGUCUUUCUUUAGGGAUGAUUCCCAAUUUCCACCUUUUUGGAACAAGGAAGGUGUAGUUCUUAACCCGAAGGGUAUGAAUUUACAUUAGAGGUGAUGAUUGGGGAUGCAAAAUCCUGUAUUGGGUCUUUCUUCAGGGUGGAUUCCCAAUUGCCAAAAUCCAGACUUUUAAAUCAAACUUGGAAAAAUAUUUGGCCUUGGCUAAGUGGGAGAAAAGAGUGAGUUUAUUNNNNNNNNNNNNNNNNNNNNNNNNNNNNNNNNNNNNNNNNNNNNNNNNNNNNNNNNNNNNNNNNNNNNNNNNNNNNNNNNNNNNNNNNNNNNNNNNNNNNNNNNNNNNNNNNNNNNNNNGACUUGGAGGAAAUGGUUAAGUGGUUGGUAAUUGAUGACUAACCUGAGUUUUCCUCUUGUCUGUUCAGCUCUUUUACUGACAUAAAAUGCUUCGCAUUCCCGUUAUGAAUCAGAUGGCUCUAUCAGAUCAAAUUCCAAAAGUUCUUCACAUAUUUCUUUGCAAACUGGAGAUAAUCUGGAUUCAUCCCUGAAUGACUGGCUUUUGUUGGAUUGAUAUUUCAUUCUUCUUGAAACAGAGUUUGAUAAAAAAAAGUCUUCAUUUUCCCAUAACGGGCGUUUUCCUUUCUUCAUGAAAUCCUUGUGUGAUUCAGCACAUGAAUGAUCAAUGAGAUUUUGCUCAAUCUCUUUGAUUUGUUCGUCAUUAGUGAUUUGGAAUAGCCUUGGAAUCUCAGAAUAAGGUCUGAACUAUUUUUCAAAAGCUAUCUCGUAAGCCUUAAUCUAGAGUUGAUCUCUAAGUUUUCUGUAAAUGUCAAAUCCAAUAAUAAGAUCCUUUCCUGGUAUAUCAGAUCCUAGCAGCUUCGUUGUGUACUUCAAUCCUUGAAAGAACUCAAUUGUGAUGGGGUGCUUUGUAAUGACAGUUGUGGUAAGAUUGCAUUUGAUGUAGUGUAGAAAUCCUUAAAAUGUGGCAUCCAUUGAUCUUCUGGGAGAACAGCAGUAUUUAUGAGUGAGGAAGUAGCUCUGGAGUCGAUGAAAGCAAUAACUUGAGUUGGUUAUCCCAUUUGGAUGAAUAGAAUUUGAGUUCUACUCGAGGAAUAACUACGAGAGCAUUGAUCUCCUCUCGGGCUUCGAUAACUGGUUCUGAAAUUUGGUUUUGAUCACUGCCUUGAUUUUCAUAGAUAUCAAGAGAGAAUAACAUUUCUUCAUUAGGUUCAUCAUCCACGGAGAAUAUAGAUUCAAGGUCUUCCUCCUUUCUGAGAUGUAUGUGCUCUUCAAUGAGUUUGACAGAUCUUCGUGAUUGUGGAUAAUUUCUUGCGAAAUGUCCAAUCUUGUGGCAAAUAAAACACAUAUUUUUCAUAUAAAAAUUUCAUGGACUUCUCAGUCUGAAAUAUUUUGUGCGUCUCUUGGACCUUGAUUUCCCAUAUGGAAUUCUUGGGAAUUUCGCCUAGAUGUGUGGCAGGAACAUCCUGAUCUGGUGAUUAGAUCCGAUUUGCGGCAUGCUUUGUCAAGCGUUGGAUAAUUUAUUUUAGGGUAGAGUGCUUUGUACAAAAUAUCAUCCAAUGCGAUUAAAAUAGGUUGCCUAAUGUAACCAAUUUUUGAAAUUGCUACGGGCUGAAACUUUUCUGCAAUGAUGGUCAUGGUUCGGCUUGCCAGCAACUUUGGAAGGGAAGAUACAAAGGCUUGCUUUAGAUUGAUGUCUCCAAUGAUCUCGAAGUAUGUCUUUGCUAUUUUUUAAAAAUGUCUGUCAAUGUGAUUUCUGUCGAAUAAUACACACUUCAUCUCGAAUCCAAUCUCGAAGUAUAUCUUCACCAUUCUUUGAAAAUGUCUAUCAAUGUCAUUUCUGUCAAAUGACACACACUUCAUCUCAAAGAGUUGUCUUCGCAUUUUCUCCUAUCUUUGACCAUUAUCUCCGCAGAAAACUUCAUGUAGGAUCCUGAUGUUGAUCGCAAAAUCUUGGGAAGUAAGAAAAGUAUUUUUGUCUUGAAUUCCAAGUGAGUUCCACCGGUAUUCUAAGGAUUCCUGAGAAUCGGGAAGUUAGUUCUGACAUGAUGAUAUACUUUUCUCGUUCCACCAAAUUUUUGGUCACCAUCCAAGUAUAGAAGUCUUGGAUCCUUUGAGGCCAUUUUGAAACCUUGACAUCAUCUAAGGUGAAUGUGUGGAAACCAGUUCCAACUGGUUUUGACGCCAUGGGCUCAUAUCUUUUUUCUGGGAUUGGUUCAUCUGUCAUGCCUUCUUUUUCCUCAUCUACUUCAGAUAUUUCUAGGUCUCUUAGCUGGUUUACAAAUAUUAGGGGAUCAUCUUCUUCGGAAGAUUUUGUUGUGGAUUCAUUGUUUGAUUGAGAGCAAUAUUCCAUUGUUUCAUCCUCUGAUGAUUUUAGAGAUUCUGACCAUGGGGUAUCUUCCUCUGAUAUGUAUCUUGGUUGGGAGAAAUAGAGGUCUGGAGUCUUCUAGUCAUAAAUCAUCAGAUUUUUGGUGUUUGACCCUUUUGAAUUUUCUGCUUGGUCUCGCCUUUUCUUGAUUUGUUUCUUUGCUGCAAGGGCAUCUUUCCUUUCCCAAAUCAUUUUUGCGAUAUCAAAAUCAUUUUCUGCUUUUGAUGAUUGGGAGAAAGAGAUUGGAUUUUGUGAGGUAGAUGGAAAGAUAGAAAAGGUGCAGUCCAAUUUAGGCGAGGAAUAUUCUUGUGGAGACAUAGGGAAGAAGGUAGGUUUUGAAGGGAAAACUGGGGUUUUUUGCGGCUCAAAUAGCUCAUUUCUCAAAAGUUGAAUUUGUUCCUUGAAGGAAAUUAUCUCCCUUUGUUGUUGUUGGAAAAAUUGGAAAAAUGAAGUUCCUUGCGGACAAAUCUCAUAUUGUAAAUUUGCCAAACCUUAGUUCUAAGGCUUUAAUUAGUCCUGCAUGCUGAGACAAUGUCUGCUCCAUCUUCUUUUCAAUCGUUUCCACUUUGCUCAACAUUUUUUUCUAUGUAUGAGCCACGUUCCUUAUGGUGUUGCUAAUGUUGUUCAGCACUUUGUUUUGGCAAAUGGAAUUUUUAGAUUGCUAGUUUAUUGUUGCUUCGAUGUCCCUCGUUGGGGGUUUUUCUCCAGAAGGUAGUACUAUGUUCUUUUUGGGAAUUUUUGGAGCAUAACCUAUACCGUCUUUUUAAAAGGUUGAAGUGGAGCAAAAUCUUGAGAGUGGUUGGGGCUUGAAGGGCCCAUCAUGAAUAUUUGUGGGUGUGUGGACUUUUGGGUUGAUAAAGUUGUAGGUUCGGGUGGCUUUUUGGAUUCUGGAGUAUGAGGUGAUGUUGGUUAGGAUUUAGGCAUUGUUUCACUAUCCUCCCAGCUUGGAGUGAAGUUUUCUGGUAGUUUUGGCCAUUCUUGGGGUUUGUAACUGGAAAAAAAAUUCAUAUUUACCUGGAUGGCUUAAUGAGCCAAUUGAAGGAUCUUUAUUUUCAUAUUUAUCUUGGAUUUGGGUUUUAUUUUGUUGAGGUCAAACCUUUCCCAAUGAUGGUGGUGGUGUUCAUCAUAUUCUCCAAUUGGAUCUUCCAAACAUUCUUUGCAGUCGCAAUCAAGAUCUCAAGGGCAGUGUCCGGUGAAUGGGCAUUUGAACCACCAAGCUCUUUUUACUUCUCUGUCAAAAUGUUGACACCAGUUAUGUUCUUCCAUGAUACUUUGUAUAUUCUAGAAAAACUCUUCGUCGGGUUCAUGAUAUGUAUCUAAUGUUUCUUUUGGUUGAAUCAUUUUGGAAAGAGAAGAUGGUUUUCUUGGGUUUUCUAAUAUGGGAAUGGUCAAAGCUUAUGGAAACAGUUUUGUCACUUCUUUUGGUAAAAGUUGGUUCACCAGAUUGCAGGGAUUCCUCUGAUACUCUUAGCUUCUCGUAAUUUAUGAUCGAGGAAUCAGGAAGGAAUUUUACAAGCUCCUCUCUAGAAAUCUGUCUGGGUAUUUGGGUGCUCAUGGUGUUUCCUUUACUAGCAUCAAUAUUUAAGAGUAAGGCAUUUUCUCCUCCAUGUAGGCAAAGAUCCAUGGCAUGAUUUUGGACUCGCCAUGCCAUUUGGUGGUAAAGGGUAGCUUGGAUGGAAUCUUUGGCUUGUGGGGCCCCAUGGAUUCGGACUUGGAUUUUUAGUGCUUCAGUUAGGUACGGGUCAUAAAGGGACAUGUUGAAAUUUAGAAAGAUAGUUAUGAAGACAGUUCCAGCAUUCAGGGUAACUUCGCCAGUACCCAAAUUUGCACGUUGGUACUCCAAAUAUCUUGUAUCUAGAAAAGAAAGUCGAGCUACAACGGGUUGACCUUUUCUUCAAUGAUAUGUUAAAUCAAUUCGGAUAGCACCAAAAUGGAUAUGGGUAAAACCAUGAUCUCUCCAUUGUCUGGAAAAAUCAUAUGGUAUUUGAAGGUGAUAAAUUGUUCUUCUUGAGUGGCAAGAAUAGGAUGUUGGUCAAAUUUUGAGGCAUCAACAUAUUCUUUAACUCAUUUUGGUAUGUGUUGGACUAAGGAACGAAUUUGGGUCCAUGGUGCAAAAGAUUUUUUGGCAAAAGCAGAGUAAGGGUUUAUGAGAGGUAGUUCAGUGGAGGAUACCUUUUGUUCGUCGGGUAGUAUAUCUAUUUCAUAGAGGUAAUUAUAUUUUUUGGACAAGGUUUUACAUAGAGUAGGGGACAUAUUCAUUUUUGCAAGGGAAGAGGAUGAUGGAAAUGACUUAGACAUAUCUAGUAAAUUGUUCAUCCCUCCGAAAGGACGGGAUGGCUCUGAUACCACAAUACAAAGGAAGAGAGGAAGAGACUCCAAGAAAGCAAACUAAACCAAAGAUACGAAAUUUUCCCUAUAAAGGGAGUUGGCUUCAAUAACCCAUAAGGAACGGUUCAAAAUAAAAUUUUCACUAUUUUGCUGCAAUAGAGACUGGUCCAGCAUAAUAUACUGGAGUUCAGUGCACUUGUGUAUGAACUCCAGCAUAUUAUGCAUGACCGGUAUACUUUGUUGGCUCCAGUAUAUUAUACCGGACCACUAUACUUGUUGGAACUCUAGUAUAUUAUGUUGGAGUUCUAGUGUACUUAUGUUGGAACUCCAUCAUAUUAUGCUGGAGUUCUAGCAUACUUAUCCUGGAACUCUAGUAUAAUAUGAUGGAGUUCAAAUAUACUUAUGCUGGAACUCCAGCAUAAUAUUCUGGAAUAUUUUUCGGGUUUUGAACAGUGUUUUCGCACAGUUUAUCUUUACAUAAAAAGUAGCUAAAUUUUGAUUACUUUGGAAAUUGAGCUAUUUUUUAAUGACCAGUUAUACAUCUGACUAUUUUUUAAUUUCUCUCAUAAAGUACGGCAAAAAAUUCCCGAUUGUUGGGCCAUGACUUUAUCAUAUAGAGAAAACUACCCUGUAUAGCCUUUCAAAAUUUUAAUAGCCCAAAUUUUUCCUCUUGGGCCCGAAAUGUCCCUCCGGCCCAAACUUAUUACAUCUACUAGCCCAUAAUCCAUAAAACACUCAUGUUUUUUAACUCGCUCCCUUAACCCGGCUCUCUCAAAACACCUUUCUUUUCAAACACGGCUUUUGCAUUUUUACUCUUGGUUUCAAUGUAAGUCCAAAUUUCAGUUGGUUUUCCGAUUUUUGUUCAUAGUCGACUCUAGGUUUUUCGAUUUUUUUACAUAUUCGUCUCUGUAACGAGGGAAAAGAAGUCUUUGAUGAAGAAGAAAAAAAGCAAGAUGAAAGCAUCUCCAAAUUCUCUGAAAUUAGCCGGUCAACUAGUGAAAUAUGACCCUAAUUUCACUAGGAAUGAUGAUGACAAUUUUGAAGAUUUAUCAGAAUUUGGUGCAAUUUGGGGCAUGCAACACGUAAAUAUAUUGAAUCAAUGCACAAUAUCCCUAGUGAAGGUAAGCAAAAGACCCUUAGUGAAGGUAAGCAAAUACCCCUUUUGAUAGAAGGACUCAUUCUCAUAGUGGGACUCCCAGCGAUAGAGUAAUGAGGUCACACACUAAAUCAAUACAAAAUACCCCUAGUGAAGGAAAGUAAAAUACCCAUGUUGAUAGAAGGAUUCCUUCUAAUAGCAGGACUCCCAACGAUAGAGCAACAAGGUCACACACUGCUCAGCAUGUAGUUGUUGAAAAGGCACAAGCUCAAAAAGAAAUAUUAAAAUCGUGGAAAAGGAUAUUGUGAAGGAUAAGGGUAAAGGUUCUAAAAGGAAGGCUAAAAGUGAUGGGAAUGACGUUCCAUCAAAAAAGAGAAAAGUUCAUGCUGAUAAAAAAUAUCCUAGUUCUCUUAUUUGAAGAUAUUUUCUAAUAAUAUAGCCUUGACUUGUGUGGGGUUAGCUUAUUUUAAUAUGUAGAAAUGUAACCAAUAUAUCAGUUAUGUUCCGUAUUUGUACAUAAAAUGUAUCAUUCUUUUUCAUAUUAUAUAUAAUAUGUAUCAAGUCAAUAAGUAAUGUACAACUUUGUAUAUAAAGUGUAUCAUCUAUCCACAUAUUGUAUAAGUAAUGUUUAAAGUGUGUAAUUAUAAUUUUUAUGAAGCUUAUAUAUAUUUAUAUUUUUGUGUUGUUUGCAUUUUGGGAUUACUAUGUUCCUUUGGGUGAUCAUUAUAGUACCCGUAUCAAUGUGCAUACAAACUACAUUAUAGUGAAACAUUUGAAAGAUAAUUUGGAUGAUCAAUAGAUUGAGAUGUUUAGAAGAACAUGUUUUGGUUAUUUUGUGGACUUGCCCGAAUUUUUAUACAGAACCAACUUAUCCAUUCAAUAUUGCUUAGGGAAGUAGUGUCACCUAAAGAUAAUGAGCUAUGGAUUAAAGUGAAUAGGACCAAGUUGCGCUUUGGACUUGUAGAGUUUUGUAUUGUUACAGGUUUAAAGUGUGACCAACUUAUCCAUUCAAUAUUGCUUAGGGAAGUAGUGUCACCUAAAGAUAAUGAGUUAUAUAUUAAAGUGAAUAGCACUAAAUUGCGCGUUGGACUUGUAGAGUUUUGUAUUAUCACAGGUUUAAAGUGUAAUGGUGAUCCCAAUAAGGAACAUGAAUCUGUGCAGUCAAGUCGGUUAAUGGAAUUGUACUUUCCAAGCAUGUUGAAAGUGUCUAAGAAGUUGUUAAAUGACUGUUUCAUAAAAAAGAUGUGGACAUCUUAUGAGGAUGCAUUAAAGAAGUAGUGUUGUAUUUCAUUCACAGUUUCCUGUGUUCUAUUACGAAUGAUGAUUUGAUAACAAAGAAUGAUUUUCUAUUGGUUGAAUCUGGUGAUUUUGAGACUUUCCCUUGGGGAAAAGUGGUUUUUAAUGCUACGUUAGAGUCAAAGAAGGAUAAGGUUCAUAUAAGGAGAGAGAUGUACAGAUAUGGUAGUUUGCCUUUGGCAUUCUAGUGUUGGUUUUAUGAAUGAUGCCCCUAUACUCGCAAAAACCUCGCGUACCAGAUUGGAGAUCUUGUGCCACGCGUACUUUACUGGCAAGUAAACAAUAAGGUGAUAUUUAAGAGGUUGAGGAGAGAUUUUUUUGUUUUAAGUUAAGAUCAGGUAAAAAAAAUAUACAUUUAUGAUACAUAUUAUGCAUUUCUGAUACAUUUCUUAUACAUUUCUGAUACAUGAAUUAUGCAUUUAUAAUACAUUUUUGAUACAUUACUAAUACAUUUUGAUACAUUAAUUAUCCAUUUAUGAUACAUAUGUUGUCUCUUUUUUUAAAAAAUCAUGAUUGCAAACUUUUAUUUAUAUAUUUGUAGUUGAUAUUUGGAAACAUUUCCCCAACAAUUGAUGAACAAACAAGGCUUCAAUUGCAUGACUUUGUCCCGAUUUGUGAAGAUAAAAAUGAGAUUCAUAUUAAAUCUAGAGUCGUGACUGAAGUUAAAAAAAAUGUUAAGAAGCACUCCAAAAAUAAGUUGAAAUCACAAUCUAUCAACAAUGAGAAUCUGGAUCCACAGCCUAGUAACAUGAAUUCAAGAGAGACAAAGCUGAAACUUCUGAGAAGUAAAAUCAAGAAGGUACAAAUUCUAUUUUGUAUUUGAGCAGUCCUGACAACUUAAUUGAUAUUCGGUUUCACUUUUCCUUUUAUAGGUAAACGACAAGGUUUCAUCUUUGGAGCAUUUAAUAUUUUCCUCAUUCGAAAAGUUUUUUAAAGCUCUAGGUGAACACGGUGCUUCAAAGGUAUUCUCAUGACUAUGCUUAUUUGUUAUUUUUACCUUUUACUAUAAUUUUACAACUUUUUUUAUGUUUUUCUGAACAAGAUAAUCAAAAAGAUGACGACCAUUAUGAUAAGAAAGUUUCAGAGUAACUUUGGUAGUGAGGAAGUUAUGGAGAAAAAUAUUGGAAUUAAAGAAGUUGUAAAGAAAAAUGUCGACAAUGUGGUAAGUCUAGAGCAAAUUGUUGAUGUUAUGGUGGGUGUGGUGAAUGAUUCUAUACAAGAUUUAAAAAGUAGUGAAGGAGUUGGUGAUGAAGAAGCCUGUAUUGAGGAUGCCAAGCUUGAAAUUACUGCAAUCACCCAAUAAUUUUGUGACAAAAAUACUGCUAAUAUGGGGAGUUUGGUGGAUGAUUCUAUAAAACUUGGUAAAAAUAGUUGUGAGGAAGUUAGUGAGGACAAUACCUGGAGUAGCGAUGCUGAGGCUCAAAUAACUGCAAUCACCCAAAAGUAUUUCAAUCAAGAACAUGGUGAUUGUUUAGGAGUGGAGAAAAAUAUUACUACUACGCGGGAAGAUCAUGUAAUUAUUGAUCAUGAUACACAUUAAAUGAGCCCUAAAGAAAGGAAACCAGCAAGGGUCAUGAAGUCACCAUUCAUGAACUGAACACAUUUGACUCUGGUGUCACCAUCCAAGUUGUUGAAAAUAAGUCAACUAAGUCAAAGAAGCCCAUCUAGACUAUUAAGUAUCCUUUGGAAAUUUUGACAAUCUUGUUGAUUUCAAAGUAUUGUGAUAGAGGCCUAAAAACUAAUGCGUCGUAAGUUUUGUGUUUCAGCUUUUUCUUUUUUCUUUUUUCUUUUUGUUUCCUUAUUUAUUUUUGUGUUAUGAACCAUAUCUUUUUAUUAUGACUCAUCAGGGACGGUGUUUAUACAAAGGUUAGGAAUAAGUUAAAGAAAACCUUUGAAUUUGGAGUUUAUGAUAUUGGAGAAAAAAAAUAGUUCUUCACAUUUGCAUAUGCUAGCCUACCCUUGUGUGAUUUAAUAAGUCAAUGCUUUAACUGUAAAAUAUAAACCGGUGAUAUACAUUUUUAGUUUUCUCAUAUCGUAAUUUUAUGACUUUAUGUGUAUAUUCUUUAUAUUUCAGCAUAUUGAUGUAUUCUUUUACUAUUUAAGAAAGAAAGGGAAAUAUGAUGUUGAUGUUCCAGUAAGAUUCACAAUUACUGACUGUUGGUUUAACUGCUUGAUUUCGAAUUUGUACAAGGAGUUUUUGGAGAAAAACAAAGACAUGAAUUUGAUUAUUGAAGAAGAUCAAUUUGUUGAGUAUAUACUUGGGUAUUUUUUAAGAUGUAAUGUUCCUUGGUCUACUGUUGAUGAAAACUAGUGAAACAGAUCCAAUUGCCGAGUAUAUACUUGGGUAUUUUUUAAGAUGUAAUGUUCCUUGGUCUACUAUUGAUGAAGUCUUUUUCCCUAUAAAUUUGUCUGAUAAGUGGCAUUUGAUAUUGGCGAGAUUGUCAUUCAAAUAUCUGCACAUUUACGUAUAUAAAUUCCAUGAGUGUGGCGCGACAGAAUAGUGGAGUUCAGAGAUCAGUUGAGCCAUAGUCAGUGUUGCUCCCAUACUUCCUUCAUUGUAUUGGUUUUUGGGACACAAAGGAUAAUCCUAUGGGAAUCCCCGUCAAUUAUCCUUUUGAGAUUCAUGUCGUUGAUGGGUUGCCAACGCAAGAUAACACGUAAAUUAUUAUUGAGUAUUUCUGAUUCUUAUUCAUUUUUUGUACAUGAAUUCCUAUUUUUUGGAUAUUAUCCUAACUUUUAUUCAAUAUUUAUGUGCUACCUUGUAUGUAGUGAUUGAGUACAUCAUUCAAGGUAGCAGUAUUCCCAAAGCUAUUGAUAUUUAUAGGAUACGAAAACGAUAUGGUAUAUUGCUAUGGGAUUAUAGAGUGAAGAAAAAAAGAGGACAAGCAGCUAGUGAUGAAGAGUCUACUGGUAGAUUGAAGGAUCAGAUAAAAAGGAUAACAAGAAAAAAAAAGCUAGUUGCAUUUCAUUGUUGAUGACAAGUCUUUGAAGGAUAACAAGAAAAAUGGCAAGACGCAUGUCGUUUGUAAUGACAAGACUUUGAAGGAUAUCAAGAAAAAUAGCAAGUUGCAUGAUGUUGGUGAUACCGAUACUUUGAAGGAUAUCAAGAAAAGGGGCAAGUUGAAGAGCAAGGUGUAGUAGUUUGGGAUAGUUUAACAGAAAAUUCACAUGUAGUUUUAAGAUGGAAAUGGUAUGAUUCUAAUAUUGUCUAUGAUUGGAUACAGUUGCAUACUUAUAUCACAUUUUAUGCUUUUUGUUUGGGGUAUCUUUGAACAAUAUGUUUGAAAUGCUAAUAUUAAAUAUUACUUUUAAUUGUGACUUAUCCUGUAGUUUUGGAGUUAAUAGUGAAAUUACGAAAAUUUUAAAUUUUGUAGUUUUGACUUUUCUACAGUUUUAGUUUUGUAAUUUAUACAGUUUAAUUUAUUUCGACAGCUUUUUCAUUUUCGAGUGAUUUUGCAAAUUUAGCUGGUGUUGCUAAGUUGCUACAAAAAACUUUGUGAACGAUGUUUUGGGGGCAGCUAGCUGUAUAUAAACUGUAUAGCGACAAUCUAUUUUGUAUAGUGAUAUCUAUUUGUAUAUUUUUGGAUAGUCAUAGUCUAUUGUAUGUAAAUUUUAUAAAUAUACAAUUUUUAUUUUGUAUAUUUAAUUGGUAACCCCUCUUUUUGUAUAGUUUUUGUAUAGUGAUAUCUAUUUUGUAUAUUUUUUGAAAUAUAGCUAUAGUUUAUUUUGUAUUUUUUUUUUGUAUAGAAACAAAUUAUAUAUUACAUAACAAUUAUAUAGUGACAGAUUAUUUUUUAUAUUUUGCAUAGUAACAGUCUUUUUUGUAUAUUGUCAUCUAUUUUAUUUAUUUUUUUUGUAUAGUGACAUCCAUAAUAGUAUGAAAUAGAACUUCCACCACUACUUUCAUUAUGACAAAAAGUAGCAUCUUAAUUCAUACAUCAUAGAGAAUCUGAUUGCCAAUCUCAUUAUUUUUCCAAUUUUAAUAUUCAGAAGAAAAAUUAUUAGAAAAUACUAAAUCACUGUAGUAGUAUCUACUAGUUAUCUUGAGGAUUCCUGCAUGUUCUUCUGUUAUAUCCUUGUUUUCCACAUAGUCCACAUGUAACAAUUUCAUUAUACAGAUAUUCAUAAAGUCCCUUGCGUCGCGACUUUGUCAGUGUUCCUGGUUUUCCCUUCACUAUCGUUGGUAGGACCAUACUAUCUAACACCUCUGUUGAAAGGUUCCAUGAAGUAUCAUCUGAAAGUGGAUUAACUGGCACUUCAUAUGUCUUCUUGAAGUAUUCUUUGGUGUAAUAUGCCGAACAAUAUUUGGGUGCUUCCAUGUGUGUGUAGUCCAAUACUACCAUAGCAUGUGGACAAGGAAUCUCAUCCACUUGAAAUCAUUUGCACGAGAAUUUUCUUUUUUGCAUGCAACCUAUGUUCCGGCUUUAUUCAGCAUCCAUUACUAUAUAUACAUAAUCGGUUGAAGGCCUCAGCUAUAUUUAAAUAGAUGUCAUUAGUAAAACGAAAACAUGGAUAUGAGAAGUAUUAAUGCAUUUUUGUCAAAGUAUGUUACUCCAGCAUAUGAAGUAAGAUACGCUAAAAGAAUAUUUACCCCCUUCUUCUGCGACACAUAGCUAUUUUCCUUCAGUACUUCAUGAUAUUUUUUUCUACACCAAUAAAUGUACUCAUUACAGUUAUUCUAUUUGUAUUAUUCCAUUCCAUAACCAAAUUCAUCAUGUAAUCUAGCAAACUCAUGAUUGGUAGCUCUCUUGCCUCUCUGUUCCUUGCAUUGAGUGACUCAGCUAUAUUUGAAGUCAUCACCAUGGAUCUAUUAGCAGUGAAAUGCACUAUAGACCACUUUUCAUAACCAACUUGGAAUAGGUAAACUCUUACCCUCUUAUCAAUGCUGUCCAUAUCUUCCAUUAGGAGAUUAAAAUCUUCAAUUUUGUAUGCUCUAGCCAUUGCAAAAAAUACUUCCCUCAGCCGAUCAUGGUUCUUCUUGAACUGCUUCUUUAUGUUAUUCCAAAGAUGAAAGAUGCAUAUACAGUGAGAUACCUCUGUAUAUCAAUAUUUGAAGUCAUCCCCAUGGAUCUAUUAAUAAUGAAAUGCACUAUAGACCACUUUUCAUAACCAACUUGAAAUAGGUAACUCCUUAGCCUCUUAUCGAUGUUGUCCAUAUAUUUCAUGAGGCAAUUAAAAUCUUCAAUUUUGUGUGCUCUGACCAUCACAAAAAAUACUUCCCUCGGCCGGUCAUGGUUCUUCUUGAAUUGUUUCUUUAUGUUAUUCCAAAUAUGAAAUAUGCAUAUACAGUGAGAUACCUCUGGAUACACAAUCAAAAUACCCCUCAAUAUGCUUGCAUGACAAUCCGAUACGAUGCACAUCUUUUCCCUUUUCCCAAAAGCCUGUCUAAACAUUUCGAAAAAUCAUUCCCAUGAAGCAUCAUUUUCAUAAUCUACAACAGUGAAUGCUAGUGAAAGAAUUUUACCUGGUUAAAAAAAUAAGAAAGCAUUCACAUGUUAUUUUUGUUAUACACGUAUAAGAACUAUCUAUACCAUACAUAAUUAUCAUACAAGACUGCAACAUAUUUACCUGCCGCAUUUUGUGCUUUAGAUGUUAACAUGCUCCCCUGUGUGAUAAUUUGAGGAAUGUCCCAUCAACCACUACAAUAGGGUAAAAAUAUUUCAAUCCUAUGAUUGUUGCAUUUAGUGCAACAAAAACAUACAUGAAGCGCCCAUCCUCUGAUUUAUGUAACAUUGUGAAAGAACAAGAAAUUGUCAUAUUUAUCAUAUACAAGUGACCUGGCAAUUUUUUAUAAGAUUCACAUGGUAUCCUUCUUAGUAGUUCAAGUGCCUUUUAUUUUGUUCUAUAGGCUUUUAUGUAACUCAUAGUAAUCUCAUACUAUUGUUUCAUGGCGCUCAUGAUGUCUGCCGGAGUGUAUAUUGUUUUUGGGUUGGCAUAUUUGUUGCAAAUCAUUUUUGCAAUGGUAGACGAAGUAGCAUGAUGUUGUGAAAACAGUCUAGUCAUCUCUGGGCAAGUAUGAACAUCAUUGAACCGUCUAACCUUCGAAGACAUUUGAUUUGUGUAGGCUUGAAGAUCUAAGACUCCAUUUGAAACUUUCAUCCACACAUGUAAGAUAAUACUUAUUUAAAAUAUAGGGUUAUGAUAAUGCAUUUCUUCAGAUUUUUACACUUGUAUCUCAAAUAAAGAACCAUUAUACAUAUGUAAUCUCACUAUACCAUAAUGAUUUAAUUUUUAUACAAAUAUGUAUACAUAAAAUUACGCUAUGCACUUUUUAAUACAGAUCUAUAUACAUAAAAUCAAGAGAAGUGCAAUCUCACUAUACAAUAAUUAUACAGUUUUUAUAUAGAUCUGUAUACAUAAAAUUAUAUAUAAGUGCAACCUCAUAAGUAGAAAUCAUAACUUGUUGUAGAUGAUCUAUCGACUAUAAAUUGACAUUUUUCUCGUAUUGCAUAGUGCUUUAUUACACUAAUAAGUGUAUCUUUCUCCCAAUACAACUGACCUUCUGCAAUUUCUUCAUGUUGUGGAUUGUCUAUUAUACAAUUUUCCUUCAAUAUGUCAAUUUUGUCUUCCUUUGCAUGAUCAUGAUUAUCUCAACAAUAUUUGUUUCGUGUACUUCUUCUACGUUCUGACAUUGUAAACCAACUGAAGUUGUUGCGAGUAAGUUUCCAGCUAAAGUUGUUGCGAGCAAGUUACCACCCAAGUAUGAACUUGAAUAUGAGCAUUCAGCACUUGAAUACACAGUUUUCAAUGUUAUGCAUAAUGAAUAUUCAGUAAUAUUCAGAUUUUCCUUUUUCAUCUCCAUAUACAAGCGCACACUCAUAUCAUUGUAUAUUGGAAUUGCUAUAUAGCCAUCCUUCACGGUAUAUUUUAUCUCAUUGCACUUGUAACUGAAUCUCUACCCAAUUGCUUGUAUAUCUUAUCAAAAAAGUAAUCAUAGCUACAGUCCGAAUUGAUCAACACGCCAUUAAUAAGGAAAAUAACAAAUUUACUCUCACUGACCCAUUCACCACUGUGUUGAAGUAAAAUCGGAAUCAAAGUUGGAACGGUAGUUUCAACAUUCACAAUCUCCAUAGACAUUAGUUGAUUUUAUCAAUUUGUAUUAAUUUCACAAUUUAAGAACGAAAUCUUAGCUUUAUUAAUUUCAGUGUAAAAUUUUGAGAGCUCUUCUCUGGGUUUAAUCUUCACAAACCCUAGAAUUAUUUUACAAUGUGAAUCAUUGGGCGACUUUUAUAGUAUUUGGAGGUUGAAGAUCUCAUACUACGACUGCUUUUCUUUUCGUUUGCGUAGAGCGUAUAGUUUUAGCUUUUCCAAUUGCUAGCCUUUGUUAUUGUUUUGAGGCUAUUAUUUAUAAGGGGUUAUUUUGUUGCUAUAGGUGAUAUAAGUUUGGACAUAAUUGCUACAAAUAAAGUUUGCUCUAUCAUUUAACCAGGAUUUUAUUAUGACUCCUAAUCUCCGAAGAAAUGGAGGUACCCACGUUUCUCCUAUAAAAAGGGUCUAGCAAUCUCUUCGUAUUAUAGGAGGCUAAUGUAUGAGACCAUUGUUUGAUGAACUUCUUUUAGUCCAAAAAAUAGCAUUUUUCCCAUAAGGUAUGCGAAAGAGAAGUUUUUUUAUAUGAACUUGAAAGUACCUAUGACUAAACAAUUACGGAUAGUCCAAAUUAUGUAGAGGGUGAUUAGAUUAGCUUUUACAUUGGUCAGAUUAGCUUUUAAGCUUUUAUUUUAGCUUUUUUUAAUAUUUGACAAAGUCAAAAAAUGCUUUAAAUAAGUUCAAAACGACUUAAAACAGGCCAAAAGCAAAAAGUUGAGCAACCCAACUUAUUGCUUUUUGGCUUAAAAAUUAUUUUUGCAGAAAAAUUAUAUUUUUUAAGCCAAGCCAAACUAGCUAAUAAUCCUAUUUCUCUAAGUAUAUAAUCUUACACCAUGAUUCAUUAGUUGAAUUAAAGGAAGAUUCCAUUAAAAUAAAGAAAAUUUUAUUAAACUUGGCAUGCAAAAACACUAAAUAACAUCUAACAAUUAUUUGUAGAAGAAAUAAGUGGUUCCCUCAAGCUCUAUUGUUUUCCUUGUGUCCUUAUUUCCGUAAGUGUUUUCACUUCAUUGGUGACCCACAAAUAGAAGUAGAGCUGGAAUUUGAAGUUUAUGACCGUCUAUUUAAAUUACUGAAUUCUAAAUUAAUAAUUUAUAUAUAUUAGAUUUCUUAAGACAAAUAUAGAGCUUGAAUUAAAGUUACUGAGUUCGACAACUCAUAACCUGCAUCCCGGCUCCGCCCUUGCAUAUAGAUAUUUACUUUUUCUAGGACUUGGGACUAUUUUUGCUAUGUCAUAUUUGUUUGGGACAUUCCUCGCAUUAAUAUAUAUUUAUGUUAUAAUUCUGGGAAGUAUAUUUUGAUUUAUGAACCUAUGCACUUGUGGUGCAGGAAUAUCGUGACAACAUGGAGAUUAGACUGAGCCAGAAAAAAAAGGAAGAGGGCAGACUCAACAACUCAAAAGCUAAUCUCAGCCUUUUGGCCAUUGUGGAUACUAGAGGAGAUACAAUAUAUAAUGGGUUCGCGGAUUCAGCAGAACCUAGUGAUACGAUUUAACAAGUAUAGCUCGAGUUAAGGAAAUCUAUGAACACGCGAGGCUAAAUAUAGUAUGAAAUCUCAAACCAUUAAUAAUAUAUGAACAGGCUUUAGCUGUAAACAUCAAUGAAACACUUAAGGAUCAAACUUGACUGCAAAAUCGCGAUUCAAGAAGCAUCAGUGUUGCAGUAAAUAACAUGAUAUAAAGGCACUAAACAAUACCAAGAUCCAUCCCCUUUUCCACACUGCCAAAAACAGAAUUUAACGUGCAGAAGUUUGUUCUAUUAAGAUCUGAAUAAGAUCUUUAGGUGAGCUUAAAUGUAUCAUCUAAAAGAUAUUGACAAAAACAUAAACAAGUCUACCUCUUAGAUUGUGUUUUAGAAUGCAACUUUAUGGUCUCCUCUUGGACUUGUUGCGCAUAAACCCUUCCAUAAAAUCUUCGACGAGUAGGUUUGGUUUUACUUCAUGGAGCAAUCCUGGUUUCUUCAUCUUAGAAUUCUGAAAAUAACUGGUAAAAGUGAGUAGAGUUAGUAACCAUACUGAUCUGAUAACCCAAAAUAGGAUUAUUAAUUUGGUAGCAAAACAAGUCAUCAACAGAAAAACAAGCACAAAGGCUGUAGCACCAACUUCUGUUUUUUACUUUCCAUGCAUUAUUUCCCUUAUAGACAAAAAAGGCUGCCCAAUGGACAAAGCAUUCUGCAUUUACGCAAGGUCCGGGGAAGCUGCGCACCCUAAGGGGUGUGAUAUAGACUUACUUUCUGAAUAUACAACCAACACUUACAUGGAACUUCUUGAAGAUCCUGGUUUGUCCCUCAAACUCAAAGCUUCCAGUUGGUGUGCCAAGUUCUUGUCUUGAUCACCUUGAGCUGAGCUAGUUCUUGAGACAGCAUUUCCAUCAAUUGGCCAAGUCAUUGGAAGUAUUAAGUCUCUACAGAACAAGAAAACUUGUCAUGUCAGCAUUUCAAUGUUUUCAACAACAACAACAACAACCCCAGUAUAAUCCCACUUAAUGGGGUCUGGGGAGGGUAGUAUGUACGCAGACCUUACCUCUACNNNNNNNNNNNNNNNNNNNNNNNNNNNNNNNNNNNNNNNNNNNNNNNNNNNNNNNNNNNNNNNNNNNNNNNNNNNNNNNNNNNNNNNNNNNNNNNNNNNNNNNNNNNNNNNNNNNNNNNNNNNNNNNNNNNNNNNNNNNNNNNNNNNNNNNNNNNNNNNNNNNNNNNNNCCCCCGGCAUCCUUCCCUCCAAGAACAUCCCACCUUGCUCUUGGGGAGACUCGAACUCACAACCUCUCGGUUGGAAGUGGGGGUCCGCGAAGCAAACAUGUGCUACACCCAACCUCUUGCAUUUAGGAUGGAACUUGAACUCGUUCCUCAUUAUCAUUUGCACAAGUUGUCUACGUAAAUACUCCAAGGCCAGAACAAAGAGGUAUGGAGACAUCGGGUCGCCUUGUCGCAAACCUCUUUUCCCUUUAAAUGGAGCAGUGAGGCCACCAUUGAAGUUGAGAGAAUAGGUAACAGAGGAUAUACAUUCCAUAACCCACCCGAUAAAUUUAUGAGGAAAGUCCAAAUUCUGCAGCAGUCUAUUAAUGACAGACUGAACAUCUGCCAUACAGAACAAAAGAAGAUCAUCCGCGAAGCAAACAUGUGCUACCCCCAACCUCUUGCAUCUAGGAUGGAACUUGAACUCAUUUCUCAUCAUCAUUUGCACAAGUUGUUAUGUAAAUACUUCAUGGCCAGAACAAAGAGGUAUGGAGACAUCGGGUCGCCUUGUCGCAAACCUCUUUUCCCUUUAAAUGGAGCAGUGAGGCCACCAUUAAAAUUGAGAGAAUAGGUAAUAGAGGAUAUACAUCCAUAAUCCACCCGAUAAAUUUAUGAGGGAAACCCAGAUCCUGCAGCAGUCUAUUAAGGAAAACCCAUUCUACUGAGUCGUAAGCCUUCUUUAAAUCCACCUUAAGCACACAUAUAGAAGAAAUGCCCUUCCUGAACUAGCCUUUGAACAGUUCUUGUGUGAAUAAGAUGUUAUCAAUAAUACUACGACCGUCAAUGAAUGCUGACUGUGAUCCACCCACCAGAUGGUCAAUAACCACUUUCAACCUAGCUGCUGUGAAUAAGAUAUUAUCAAUAAUACUACAACCCUCAAUGAAUGCUGAUUGUGAUCUACCCACCAGAUGGUCAAUAACCACUUUCAAUCUAGCUGUAAUAAUCUUUGUGAUGAUCUUGUACAGAGUUGUACAGCAGGCAAUGGGCUUGUAGUCCUUGACUUUGGUUGGAUUCUGUACUUUGGGAAUUAGAGUUAGUGCAGUGCUGCUAACUCCAGUAUGUAACUUCCGGGCAAUCCAGUGAGCUCUAGAUUUCUGUUGUAAGAUUUGAUCCUCUAUAUUGCUCCACUUCUUCACCUCCAUAAGUAGCAGCCUCUCCUGGUCAAUCAACCAUUUGUCCAUACAAUUGUAUUGCAAGUGAUUCUGUAUGGUUUCCAGCUUCUACCUUGCCUCACUGAGAUGUAACCUAUACUUUGCCAUAUAGGUAUUCAGUUCCUUUAACCCCACCUUUAGGGCCUUCAACUUAUUCCAUAAUCUCUGCAUUUGCCCUCCCUGCUAAUGCUGAUUCCAUACCCUUUCCACAAUGCCAGGGAAUUCAGUAUGGUCCAUAACAGAUGUAUACAGUUUGAAAGGCUUAGGAUGAAUGUUCCUUCUCUGUUCCUCAGGGCUACACAGUAAGAGGAUAGGGGAAUGAUCUGAAACUCCCGGAGUCAACACAUCAGCUUCAAUGUGACUGUAUUCCUGCAUCAAGUGCACAUUCCAAAGACCUAAUCAAUUUUUCUAUACACUCUUGUCUCUGGCUUUUGUUUAUUUCACUACGUAUAAAAACAGCCCAAACUCUUCAACUAAGUGAGUUGAAGAGCAAUGAGAGUGUCUUGGAAACCUUGAAUCUCCUGUUGCAUAACUGGAGCACCUAUUUUGUCAUCCGUGUGGAGUACAUUAUUGAAAUCUCCACUGAGAAGCCAGCUGCCCUGAAUAGUAUCCCCUAAGAUCAACAAUUUGGCCCAAAGUUGUUGUCUCUUGCUCAAUUCAUUAUUUGCAUACACGACUGUUAUCAGUGUUCUGAAGGUUGUACCUCUUUCUUUAACCUCACAGUGAAUAAAUUGUUCAUCAAUCUUCAAUACCUGCAGAUCAACUUUUGAAUUCCACAGUAUCCAGGUUCUCCCAUUGGGAUGCUCAUUGUAGUUCCCAAUAUGUCUCCAAUCAUUCCCCAGUUUUGUAACAAUCUGUUUCACCUUUGCUUCCUUCAAGCUCACUGUAGUUUCUAGUAUGUCUCCAAUCAUUUCCCAGUUUUGUAACAAUCUGAUUCACCUUUGCUUCCUUCACUCUAGUUUCUAUACAUUCAUACAAUCUACUUUAUGCUUUUUCAGAAAGUGUCUCAGCUCCUUCUGUUUAUGGGAAUUAUUUAGACCACUAAUGUUCCAUGUGCAGACUAUCAUGAUGUGGUGAAGCUGGAUGGGCCAGCGUCCCCUGGAUCAUCACCUAUCUGUAGCAAAGAGAAGCUGUUAGUUGUGUUCAAUGAGGCUCCGUCACAUUGUUGUACAUUCUUUCCUUUUGCCAACCCUCAAUCAAUCACCCUGCUUCCAGCAUUGUCAGUGUGCUUACAUUCCUCCACUGUUCUAUCAGUUUUAACCACUACAUUAUCCUUCUUUGUUUUUUGGUAUCCAUUGCCAUGUCUCACUUUGCACUUUCUGCUUUACCCCUGCUGCCUUAUAGUGGUUCUGUGCUACCUCUUCAUUGCCCUGCCUCUUUAUAUACCAACAGUCUUCAGUACUAUGACCAAAUCUGACACAGUCAUUGCAGUAUUUUGGCCUCCAUUCGUAUUCAAUCUGUUGUAUGAUAACCAAGCAGUCUUCAGUGCUAUGACCAAAUCUGACACAGUCACUGCAGUAUUUUAGCCUCCAUUCGUAUUCAAUCUGUUGUAUGAUAACCUCCCUCUUUGUAUGUAACUCAAGACUAUAAGGCAAUGGUUGGGAUAUGUAUGUUUCCACCAGAACUCUUGCAAAAGAUAUCCUCUCCAGUUCAGCAGUGAUUCCAUUGGUGUACAUAGGUUUCCCAACUACACUUGCUAGUUUUACGAUUGCUUCAGUGGACCAAAAUCCAAGUGGCAAGCCAGGGAAAGUGACUCAUAAAGGAACUACACUCAUAUUACCUGGUUCAUACUUGAAGUCCAUACUCCACUGUUGCAACACUAAUGGUUUAUUAUGAAAUAUGUAUGGACCAGCCUGAAGAACAAGGUCCCUAUCUUCAUUGGUGUCAAAUUUGAAAAAUAUAAUAACCUUCGUCAUGAUGCAGCACUUGAGGUUUUGGGACAAAAUCCCAAACAUUUGUAAUAAAAUUGUCCAUAGCUCGCUCAUACGGGUAUUCUCCUAGUAAAAAUCCAAUCAAUGCACUGCUCCAGUAGGUCUCAUGUUCCUUCGUAUCAUCGUUAUCAUUUUGAACCACAAACGUACAAUCUCGCAUUACAGGUGGUACAUAGCUUAGGGAUUUCCCUUUUUGAGGGCUUCGAUUAUGUUGCAUGUUGUCUCUGUUACCAUUUUUAGCCAUAGGAACACCAGAGAUCUGACCAAUCUGAGCUUGUUUUGCUUGUGCAGAAAAAUGGAGCCGUCGAUGAACUGUAUCGACACGUUCCAUCCCCAACAUUUCACCCUCGCCUUCAACAAUUUCCUCACUGAUAGAUUGGAAUUUCAACGGUAGGAAACUGCCAAAUGUUACUGGUAUCCUCUGCUGGACACCAUUUUCCGGCGUUAUCUGCAUCCCGAAUUUUCCAGUUCCGCUAGGGUUGUGAAAGAUUGUCGGCGUCCAACCCAUUCCGAUUAACCACUGUGUAGGCUUAUUCAUAGCUGGUGUUUCUAUUUUCUCCACCUCCGGUAUCAAUUUUGGCACCGGUUGUUUUUUCCGUCCUCUCACCAUGGUUGGAGGCGCAGGUUAGCGUCCUGCUUAUCCUGCGCCGAGAGCUUUUUAGAGAGAGAAAAUCUCUAUCAAGAUGUCAAAUAUCACUCAUACUUGUAUAUACUUUUUUUGAUACUAUCAAUACGUAUAACUUAAAUGCAUAUAUGAUCCUAAAUGAUUUUAAUUUACAUAGACAGUGGUGACAUCAUUUUAUGCUAUUAAUGUAGUUUUUUUGUUUUUUAAUUUAAAGUCACCUUUUAUGGUGUAGGGGUUCUAGCGGUAUUUUUGUGCCUCGUCUUUGUGAAAAUAGUACGGGCUAACAAUUGAAAAAUAGUCAGUAUUUGCAAAGUUAUUUAAAAAUAGGCAAAUUUGUGCUGCAACACGGAAAAUUCCAACAUAAUAUACUAGAAUUGACGCACCCGGUAGCGGAGGCAGGAUCUCCACGAAGGGGGUUUAAAAAAAAUUGUAGCUAGCGGAAAUUGAACCUUUGACCUAAUGAAGGUUCUGAAUCCCUUUAACCACUAAACGACACUUUUGAAUUGUGUUAAGGGAGUUCAAAAGUUAAUAUAUAGAGAUAAAAAAUAGAUUAUAUAUAUAUANNNNNNNNNNNNNNNNNNNNNNNNNNNNNNNNNNNNNNNNNNNNNNNNNNNNNNNNNNNNNNNNNNNNNNNNNNNNNNNNNNNNNNNNNNNNNNCCCGCCCCUCUCUUUUUUUUAAAUGACCCUUCUUCAAUAAAAUUGAAAUAAGAUGGUACACACAUUCUUAGAUCUUGCCACCUUUCACUUUUAUUAAGAGUCACUAAAUGAAAAUAAAGAGGGCUACCACGUGGGGGUAGGAAGGGAAAUUUUAAAUUAUCCCAACUUGUUACUUGAUUAGAUAAUAUUCUGUUACCCGAUAAUAAUCUAUCUCUUAUUUCGGAGAAAUAAGUGGCUCACGAGGAAUGGAAAGAAACAUAUUCUAUUUGAUCUCUAAGUCCGUACAUAGCAUGAUCAUAUUGUACCAUAUAAUAUAUAUAUAUAUAUAUAUAUAUAUAUAUAUAUAACUUCCAGCAUUUAUGCUGGAACUCCAACACCCGAAAAGUUCCAUCAUAAUAUACUAGAGAUUGGAACACAUGUGCAUGAACUUCCAGCAUAUUAUGUUGAACUAGUAUAUUAUACUAGAACUCCAAUAUAUUAUGGUGACGAAACGACUAGUCAGUUCGCUUUUAAAGAACCUCAUUACCCUAUAUAAGACUUCCCGUACUUUCUUUUGCGGAUUUAUGACUUGCAGGAAUGGUUGGUUCACGAUUUGGAAGGGUUUGGGUUGAAAUCGGAACACUUGGUUCCCCAAGGUUGGCUUAAAGGUCAAGUUUUCGGUCAAUGUUUUGAGUAAACAAACUCGAAAUCCAUAUAUAAAGGUUCCAACAUGUUCGUGUGAUGAUUUCGGACUUGGGCGUAUGUCCGAAUUGGGUUUUGGAUGUCCUCUGAGCGUUUUGGUGUCUAAUAGUGAAAGUUGAUUCCUUAAGGAUUUUGAAGUUCUUAAAUAUUUGGUUUGGAGCUGGUUUUUUUGUUAUCGAGGUCCAAACGGAGUUUCUGUGAUCGGGAAUAGUUUUGAAUUUCCAUUUAAGACUUGUAAACAAAAUUUGAUGUCAAUCCGAGUAGUAUAAGUGUGUUUCGUCGCAUUGGAAGUAAAUUGAAGAGCUUGAAGUUCAUAAGUUUGAUUCAAUUGGUUUUAGGGGUGAUUAUUAGAUUUAGCGUUGUUUCGGGAAUUUUGAAGGUUUGAGCGAGUUCGUUUUAUGAUUUCAAACUUAUUGGUAUGUUCGUGUGGAGCCCGGAAGCCCCGAACGUCAAUUGAACGAGGCUCAAGUGAAGUUAGAAAAUUUAGAAAGGAGCUGAAGCUCUAGUCUUCUAUCAUAAACACACUUGCGGUUGGUCAGUCGUAGGUGCAAGAUCAUAGAAACGGUCGUUCUCUCUCAUGAGCGGCCAGGGCAGGCCAAUCCUAAAGUCACGGGAGCGGCUAAUCUUCCGCAGAAGUGAUUUUCUCGCCGAAGAAGUGGCCCAGCUGAAUUUUCGCAGAAGUGAACACCUUUCCGCAGAUCGGGUGGGCGCAGGUGCAACCCAGGACAACAGAUGCAAAAAUCACUGAAGCAAUGACCUUCAUUUAUUGUGGGUGUUAGCAUUUUUGGCUCAUUUCCCCUCAUAAGUUGCGCGAUUUUGGGCUCUUGAGAGAAGAUUUUUAUCUAGCAUCUUGAGGUAAGUUAUUCCAACUUAUUUUGAAUUUAGUACUUGGGUCUUGGGUAGAUAACACACUAAGAUUAGUGAAAAAUCAUGCGAUUAGAGUAAAAUUAGGGUUUUGAUAAAAAUAAGAUUUAACCACGAAAUUUGUUAUGGAAUAGAGUAAGAUAUCAUAUAUUCUUGAUUCUUAGGUUAUAAAGAACAACUUUCUUCAAAAAAUUUCGGAAUCCGGGCACGUGAGCUCGAUGAAGGAAUUUAGGAUACUUGUGUUUAGGGUUAAAAAAUUACUUUAAUAGUUAGAAUGUGAACUUGUAAGCUUGUAUUGACUAUUUCCUACCUUGUUUAAUUAGUUUUGUAUCAUUCGGAUUCAAAUUGGAGAUUUGAGCGUGUUCUCGAUAUUGGAAGUACGCUUGAAGCGAGGUGAGUCUCUCUGACCUUGUAAGAGGGAAUUAUCCUCAUAGGUGAAAUAAUUGAGUAAUCUGCCACUAAGUGGGGCGGGCUACGUACACAUUAGGUGACGAGAAUCCGUGCGUAGCCAUUAUUAUGCUUAAGUUCAGAUAGUCUAGUACUCAAAAGCAUGCUUUAUGUGAUAUUCUUGUAACUUAAUGGUUAACUUGGAUUGCUUAAAUCAUGUUGAAUGUGGAAAAUGAAAUCAUAAAGAGGAACAUCAUUUUCUUGACCUUUUUAAAGAGAAGUUGUCAUUUCUUUGAGUAAUUGCCUCCCUGAUAUAUUCAUAUCUGGCUAUUUGUUGUGUUUAAUUAUAUUUGAUCGUGUUCACAUGUAUGAUUCACGAGCGGGGUAAUAGAUGCAUAUAUGAUUCGCGCCACUUCGCCACACUUUAUUUUUCUAUUGGAUAGGGCCGUACGACCUUGACACUAUUUGCGCCAUGCCUCUUGCUUGGUAUCUUUAUGUGAAUUGAACUUUGUUGAAUGCCCUGAAAUGUAAAUUGCUAAGUGAGAUAUUAUUUAGGAAAUGACCUAUCACUUCUUGCUAUAAAUUGUUAUUUAUUAGUGACAUCCAAGCUUAGUAUCACAUUUUCUUAUAUUAUUUGACCCUAGUAAGUGUCAAGUCGACCUAUCAUCUCUAUUUCUUUGAGAUUAGACGGGAUAUUUACUAGGUACAUAAUGUUUAUGUACUCAUAUUACGCUUCUUUACUUAAUUGUACAUGAUCUGAUGCAGGUAUAUUUGGCUACCAGUCUGGUGCGUAUUCUUGAUCGUUGUCCGAGAUUCUACGGUGAGUUGCUCCCUUCCUAUGCCGUUCAACAACAUGAUGGAACCUCUCUUUGAUUUUGGCUGUCUAUUUUAUUUCAGACAGUAGAAUAGAUUUACUCUUUUGUAUAUUCUACUAGAUGCCCAUAUACUUGUGACAUCAGGUCUUGGCACACACAUUUGUAGACUAUUAUUUUAGGAUUGUAUAAUUAUUAUUGUACGUUGCUAAUUAUCACGUGUUAUAAAUUCAAAUCAAGAAAUUAUUGUAAUUGUUUUAGUAAAGUAAAAUUAGAAUUCACUAAUAUUUCUACGUUUGCUUGCCUGACUAUGGUGUUCGACGUCAUCACGGCCUGCAAUGAAAUUGAAUUGUGAUAAUUAUGUUUGAAUAUUUUUUAAAUUUUGAAAAAUAUUUUUGUUCAGCUCUAUCUUUACAUAAAAAGUGAUUAAAAUUCAAUUACUUUUAAAAUUAUAGUUAUUUUUCAAUGACCAAUUAUAAAUACAACUAUUUUUUAGUUUCUUCCGUUGUCAUUCGAAGUCCUGUUUAAAAAGUAGUUGCGAGAAUAAUUUGGAUUAAGCGGUCCUUUUUGGGGCCACUAUUGAGACAUAAGUUGGCCAGAGUUUUCCUUGACAUAACUCUGUUACCGUUACUAAGAAAAGUAAGUAAGAAUUACUAUUGAUGUGGCUCUUUGGCUUCAUCACCCCCAACAUGUCUAAUUGUCUACAACACGUUUAUACUAGGUAUGAGGGAUAACCGAAUUAAAUUUAAGGUAAAUUUAUUUCACGUUCGAUUUAGAUAAAAUUUCGAAAUGAUUAAUUUUGGAAUUGUAGUAUUAUUUUUAUAUGUUUAUGCGAAAUGAUCCUUCUAUGUUGUUUAACUUGUUGUAAUAAACUAUCUUACUAAUUUAUAUUCCAUGUUACCAAGAACAAAAAGGAAUCGAAAGGAUUAAGUCAUUGGAAAACACGAAAUAUAUUGUCGACAAACCAACGUCAUGAGGGUGUGAAAGAAGUGAGGUCAUAUAUGGGAAAUGUACAACGAAAUAGCGACGUGAAAGUGACUUUUUUGGGGUCGUUUCGUUUUCUUCGUUGGGAAUUAAAGAGAUUUUAAUUUUUUUUCAUCACCUUUAUAUUCUUUUCUCAUUUGCCAAGACUUAGACGAGUGAACUUGUUAUUAUGACAAAUUAAAAGCCAGUAACUUUUUUCAGCCGACGUCCAUUUCUCUCUUGGUAAAUUUAAUUCGGACUAAGGCCCUUUGUCCAUAAAAUUUUACAAAGUUUUUAAAAAUUGUUUGAAAAUAAGCUUUUUAAUAAAUAAAAAGUGGUUUUGAUCAUUUUGUCAAAACUUUCGAAAUAAAAUUUUCCCAAUCAUAAACCUGCAAUAUUUUUUGUAAUAAAGUACAUGUCCAGAUAUAAUUUUAAAUACUAUUUUUCAACUUAACUCCAAAUACUAAUUUUUUCAAAAAUUAUACUUUUGUUGUCCAAACGCCUACUAAAACACAAUAUAACUCGUUAAAUAAAUAAUUACAAAAUAAUUCUUCUAGAAAAAUAUUUUCUUUGCCUUUUUUCGCUUCAAAGGUUUCACCAAAUUUACUUUAAUGAUACCAAACUAACUUUUUAUAUUUUCCAAAUUUAUAGUAUUUUAAAAAUAGUUUUAAUUUUUUUAUUAUUUUCUGGCUAUUUAUUACUUCCUCCAAUCACUUUUACUUGUCACAUUUUGACCUUUCACGUCCCUUAAGAAAUACUAAUAUAUAAAGUAUAUAAUUUACUAUGAUACCCAUAUUAGUUGAUGCUAUUGUAUUGGAUUUGAGAAGAUGAUUUGAAAUGAGUAAUAAAUUACUAUGAGAAAAAAAAGAAACAAAUUUAUUGUCUUCUCUUGAUAUGCAUAAAGUGCCAAGUAAAAAUAAAUAUUUAUUUUUAAUAUACAUACCAAGUAAAAAUGACCGAAUGGAGUAAUAUAUAAGCUACUAAAAUUUAAAAAUCACGGGGCUUACGUCAAAUUCCAUGAGGUUUAUGGUGCACUUUAUACUAGGUAAAAUGCCCCUCUUUUUAAAAGCUGAUCAAUAUUUAUUAAUGGAAAUCAACUAGAGCUAUUACUAUAAGCAUUUUGAUCUUGAUUUAAAUGAAAAAAUACAUAGUCGAAUCAAAUUAAUUGUCGAAAAAACAAAAAAUCAAAUUAAUCAAGUUGAAAUCAUAAAAAACAAUAAUCAAGUCAGGCCAAUUGCAUCCGUAUAUACUUCUGUCAUGACUCUAGAUAAAGGUAUAAUUUAAUUUGGACAAAGAAAGACAAAGUAUGGUAAUGCGGGUGACAAGAGUAAACAAUAAGAAAUUAGAAAGACUAAAAUAUUUGUGCGAAUUGCCUAAGAAAUUAAAAAAGUACAAAAUAGAGAAUAAGGGCAUCAAAGAUUUUCUUAGAAAAAAAUUAAAAGAGUGCUGGAGUUGGAGGGAAUAAUGCCAAAUAAGAAAAUUGAAAAUGCAAGUAUAUAUAUAUAUAUAUAUAUAUAUAUAUAUACAAGCAAAUGCAAGUACUCAUAUUAUUAUGGAAUUUAAUUUAUUUGACUUUUAUGAUUAUUUGGUUGAAUAGGAAAAAUAAAAGAUUUAGAAUUGCAGAAGGGAAAUUAAAUUCAAACAUUACAACUCCUUGUAAGUUUUCACCACAAAAGAAAUGCCUGACAAGUUCUUGUAUAACACCAAAAUGAAUACUAGGAUAGGGAAAGGAAAAAAGGGAAUCUUACAUAAAUAUCUCAAAAGUCUUAACUUAUCAGUCUCUAACCAUUAAUUAUAGAUUUGUUAUAAUUAGUCAAACACAUAUAAAAAUUAAAAACAUAAACAAAAUAAGGUUCUUUCUUUCAAGAAUCACACACAAAGAUCUCCUUCCCUAUUUUUAAGUGUAAAUUAGCAACAUUAAAUGCAAGUCGGAAAAAAAACUUUGGUGAUGAAAUAGCAAAUAAUAUAUAUAUAUAUAUAUAUNNNNNNNNNNNNNNNNNNNNNNNNNNNNNNNNNNNNNNNNNNNNNNNNNNNNNNNNNNNNNNNNNNNNNNNNNNNNNNNNNNNNNNNNNNNNNNNNNNNNNNNNNNNNNNNNNNNNNNNNNNNNNNNNNNNNNNNNNNNNNNNNNNNNNNNNNNNNNNNNNNNNUAUAUAUAUAAGACUCCAAAAAUCUAACCAAAAAAUGAAAACAUUUCCAAUGGAUAUGGUUGAGAUUCAUUGAAAACAUAUAGAUGAGUCAACAUAUCAAAUUUGAGGAAGAUUGGAGCUGAUUUGAACUGAUUGAGUAUCAAAUUUCGCACUUAAAAUUGAGUUCAAAAAUUCUUUUGCGACAUGUGUAUCAGACAUACAUCACACAUGUAUCCCACACGCAAAUAUACAAGGAUAUACAUGUGAUACACAUCAUACGACACAUGUUUGUUAGACAAGUGAUACACAAUGCGAUACACAUAUCAUUUUUUUCAUGUUCAUUUUCUAUUUCAAAUUUUCAAUCCAAAUUACCUCAAAACUCCACCAAAUCAUCCCAAAAUUGAGAUUCAAACUACUUAAGAUGUACUCAAUCUAUUAUAAUAAUAUCUACUAAAAAGAGAGCAAAAAUUUGACCUCUUUUGGCUACAAAGGGCUAAUUAGCUAGUAUUGAUGAUAUUCUAAAAUUGGCCAAUUUUUAUAAUAAACUACUUAUAAAUGAACAUAGCUGGUAUUUUUCCAAAAAAAAUUCACGCGUUGUGGCCACUUUUUGGUUUUCUAUUUGGUGUCCGGUACCUACAUUGACGUUCGAUUAAAUUAGAUAUCGUAUUGAGAAGUCCUAUAUUGGGGUGAAAAUAGCACAUGCUAACCGGUUUUCGAACUGAUAAUUGAAAAAUAGCCAGCACUUGUAAAGUCAUUGAAAAAUAGUUGUUAUUUUACUAAAACACGAGAAGUUCUAGCAUAAUAUGCUGGAUUAUGGAGCUCCUACGUAUAAACUUUCAGUAUAUUAUGUUGGAACUCCAACACAUUAUGAAAUUUCAGCAUAUUAUGCUGGGAUUGUUUCGGAUUUUUAAGGAUAUUUUUUAUCAGAGUUUAUCAUUACAUGAAAAACUUGUUAAACUUCGAUUAUUUUUAAAAUUGUGGCUAUUUUUUCAUUACCAGUUAUAAAUUUGGUUAUUUUUUAUAUUUGUUUCCCUAUAUUGAGGGAUGAAGCGCUCCUUAUAUUGUUGGUUUAGGUUGUGGCCAUGAAAGAGAAAGAGAACAAAAUAGAGAAACUUUCAGAAACCAUUUACUAUAUUACUUUAUAUGAUUAUAUUUUUAGGGUUUUUAGAGUGUAUACAGUGUAUUUAAGCUACUAUAUUCAUGAAUACAGUAAUAUUUCUAGUCAUGAAACAUGGGAUUACAGCUAGACAAAAUUUUAUAUUCGAGUGUAUUCGACUGUAUAUAUGGCGUAAAAUAUGGGAUUACAACUGGACAAAUUAUUGUAUUAGGCCGUAUUCAUGGUGUGAAACGGGGCAUUACACUAUUUUUAUAAGGAAAGUGAAUCAAUUAACAUAAUAGACUUCUAAUAUAACUCAACAAACUCAAUUAUAAUACACAAAUUUUGUAUUUUCAGUUAUAAAAAAGAUUCUCAACCGAAAAACACCCAAAGAAUAUUGCAAUCUUCAGAGAAAUUACAUAAUACAUCUGAAUUAUAAAUUAUAUCAAUUAAAAAACAUAUGAAUACAUUCAUAGAAUAUAGUGACAUAGUGAAUACAAUGAAAUACACAUAAUAUAUCGGGAUACAUUGAAAUAUAAUGUAAAAAAAAUAAUGAAUACAAUAAAAUACAUAGAAUACAACGAUACAUUAAAAUAUAAUGAAAAAAAGACGAUGGGUACAAUGAAAUACAUGGAGAUACAUUGAAAUUUAUUAACAGAAAAUUCAAAUUGUGCAGCCCAACUCCGCCGUCUUUGUCCAAGAAUAACCCUAAUAUUGUCUCGUUGAAGCAACAUCAGUAUCCAUUCCUCGCUUUCCGACACUAUUGCCCCUGGUUGCCGAUAAUUAGUACGUAAUUACCGCGAAAUAACAGAGGUUUUUGUUGAUCCUAUAUGCUGCGUCAGAGAAUGAGAUUGGGAGGCUGAGGGUGGCGAUAUUAAUGAAUAACGACCACGAUCGAACGAUGACGGUGGCAACUGCUCCAGCGUCCACCAGAGGAGAACACAUCGUGAAGGAGAGAGAGAGAGAGAGAGAGAGAGAGAGAGAGAGAGAGAGAGAGAGAGAGAGAGAGAGUAGAUAUGGGGCAGGGGGUAGGAGAAGUUUGAGGGGAUAUGAGAGAGAAAUAAUACAAAUCUUAUUUUAUGGCUUAAUGUUUGGAGGUAUUAUAAAUAGAUAUUUGAUUAUCAAAAAUUAAGAAGUAGCUAUGAAGUAUAAUUUUUUAAAAAUAUUUAUUUAAAAUAAAUAAAGUAACAACCUUCGCUAUAGGAAAUAACUGAAUCUGUUGGGAGCAGCAUAUAAAACUCUUGAACUUUAACACAAAUUUAUGUCAACAACUUAAAUUUCUUGAGACAUUACCUUUAGACUAGAUUCAGAAAUAUGCAUGAGUACCAUUCUCAAAACUAAUUAACUGGCCGAAGGUCAUGCCAAUAAGUUGAGCUGAAAAGAGCAAGAAAAAGGAAAAGAGCUCUGUUUGGUAUAAAAAAAAAAAAUUUUCCGUCAAAAAUAUUUUUUUUAAAAAUAUUUUCUUGAAAAAUAACUAGUAGUUUUAUUUAUUUUUCGGUAUUUGGUACACAAAUUAAAGAAAAUAACUUUUCAAAAGUAUUCAUAAAUAAUUUAGAUACAAUAAAUAUAAGUCAUAGAUUUUCGAACCAACAACCUUUUGAACUCACCAAUUUCAUAAACUUUCGAAUGACUAAAUUUUGGAAACUGCGAACUUUCAAACCUUUAAACUUUAUAAUUUCUAAAUGCGUAAACUUUCAAACACAUAAACCUCCAAACUCAUAAAUUUGGAACUUAUAAAAUUUUGAACAUGUAAACCAAAAGAUGAAAAAACUAAAACUGAAAUUAUAUUUUAAAGAAAAGAAUCCGGGGAGGGGNNNNNNNNNNNNNNNNNNNNNNNNNNNNNNNNNNNNNNNNNNNNNNNNNNNNNNNNNNNNNNNNNNNNNNNNNNNNNNNNNNNNNNNNNNNNNNNNNNNNNNNNNNNNNNNNNNNNNNNNNNNNNNNNNNNNNNNNNNNNNNNNNNNNNNNNNNNNNNNNNNNNNNNNNNNNNNNNNNNNNNNNNNNNNNNNNNNNNNNNNNNNNNNNNNNNNNNNNNNNNNNNNNNNNNNNNNNNNNNNNNNNNNNNNNNNNNNNNNNNNNNNNNNNNNNNNNGGGGGGAGUAGCGAGGUGGGUGGUGAUGGGAAAAAAACUUUUUCAGGGAGAGGGGGUGGCUGGGUAGGGAUUGGGUAGGUUCGAUCGAACCCGCACCUAAUUUGCUAGCUCCAAACAUGAAUCACCUAUGAUUACUGAAUUGUAUCUUAUUUUUUGUCAAUAUCUCCUAUAUAUACAAUAAAAAAAUUAACCUUAAAAUCAAGUGUCAUGUGGAAGCUAGCAAAUCAACCUUGAGCAACGAUAAAUCGUACAAUAAAGAGAAAUAUACCAAAAGAAACACAAAUAUAUAACGUGGUUUGAUCAACUGACCUACAUCGACGGUGGAGAUGAGCAAUCCCCUAUAAUAAAAGAGGAUACAAAUAUCGAGAGAACAACCUCACGAAGAGGUAAACACAAGUGAAACGCUAACACUUGUCCCGUAGAGAUCUCCCCCUAAGCACGACUCUCAAGCCCCCAUAUGACUACAUUGUGAAUGCUACUCAAUGAGAAAGAUGGAUCUUCAAUUUAUAGAGCCCUAAACAGUUUCCUACAAGAAAAGAAACUAGCCAAAUAUGAAAUAAUUAUAUUUUCUUUCUAGAAAAAAAAUUCAACUAUAAUAAAUAUGUUAUCAUUUCCUUCGUGAGAUAGGAAAUUCGAAUAAACCCCUUUCGUCCCUGCUCGGUCCCAGCGAGCCCAAAUGCAAAGGUCUCGAAUGAGAACCAAAACUUGAUUAAUUCGAACCAAAACUUGAUUAAUUCGAACCUAAACCAACAGCAGCUGGGGCUUAGCUGCAGCAAUUCAAGGAAAAGUAGAACAAUGUCCUCAUAGAAGACAUUCCGUUGCACUACAACAUUAUACAUAUACAGCUACAAAGUGCAUACAUUUGUUCAAAGAAGUAUAUCAUUUCACUCCAUACCUAAAUAAUGAUCAACACUUAUUCAAAACAUACUGAAGUACAAUAAACUUGUGGAGUACUUAAAUUAUAUCACAUUUACAACUUGAUAUGGUGAUCAACAUGUUCUCUAAGUAAACUUCUAUCUUAGUGCAGUUCCUAGCACUAUGGACAUCGAAUAAUCUUAGUGGAAAAGGUGACAUACACAGCCAACAGAACAAUAGAAACGGAUAAAACCUGGUGUAAGAACUUCAAGGAUUUAUGAAACCUUCUACCCUAAUAUUAUCCUUCCGCGAUAGAAACUUCAUGCAAAUAGGAGGAUUCACGCCUGCCAAAGCUAGUAUCGAACUUGGCAAGGUCCAGAUUCCAUCACCACAAAUUAGUCCAGAUGCAACGGCAGGUCCAAAUGCAUCAGCCUUAACCUUGUCUAUCUUUGUCCAGAUGAACAAGAUCAGGCUCCCGAGACACAUAUCAAUAGCAAAGUAGGAUCCAAGAUAGAACGGUAUGGCCAUUGCCAUUGGAAGAGGAAUAUACUUCGCCUUGUUCUUUCCUACAGCGUCCCUUAAGGCGUUGAUGGCAAUAGCUCCAAGGAAGAAUACGUAACAAAGGGUGAGACAGUUUUUAGGUAGAGCUGAGAAACCUUCGACUCCCAAGAUAGACAUGUUACGGUAGACAAGAGCAUAAGGGGCAGGAUAUUCCGAACCUGGAACGCCUAAGUCGUGGAACGCCUUGUAGAAGAGCCAAAAUACACAAGGAGAGAUGACGCAGCCCAUUGCUGUUCCGAUUAUCUGGCUUAUGAACAUGGACCGAGGAGAAGCCAAUGUCAUGUAUCCAGUUUUGAAGUCCUGUGUUAGGUCGGAUGCAGUGGAGACGAUGUUCAUCAUCACACCACAAGCAGCUAAUCCUGCUAGAACCCCACCAUGAGCGGCCCCGGCCCAUGCUCCAAUUGUGAAAAUGGCCAGCUUUCCGUACGUAGAUGCCAAUGACCAGUCGGUGAGACCACAGCCAUAAGCAUUGCAGAAGGCUAGUAUUGGUGCAAAAAUAUAAAUUACCACGAUAUAGUACCAUUUAAGUUGAUGGAAAAUAUGCGGAAGUGUUACAGUGGAGACGAUGGCAAUGCUAACGUAACCAGCUAUUGCGACCCACAUUGGGAUUUGAUCCUUGAGGAAAAGCUCGGUUCGUAUCUGAUCAUCAUAAGAUAAAGAAGGCUCUGUAGGAGAUCCACGGGCACCAACAGGAAGGACGGACACUGCUCUUUUCUCACGGAUUUGGAAAUAUAUACCAUAUAAUGUUCGUCCAAGUACUUUGCAGAAGUUGUAGAGACCAUCACCAAGGAUCAUGGCGAUUGCUAUGAAGACCUGCAAUACAAGAUCAUUAUGGAAACCCAAUAAGCCUCAUUUCAGUUUUAUAAAAGAAUCAAGAUUGUAGACUCAUAUUCAUUGUUCUUCUCCAAAAGAGAUGGAGAAAAGGGGAGAAUACCCUGUAACCUUGUAUGCCAUGAAGGCUGCUGGCGCUUUGAUUAGCAGGGUACCAAUGACCUUUUCUGUCUUGAAUAAGAGGCCACAUUAUACCCCAUGAAAGGAUAGCUCCAACUAGCAAAGAUAUGUUUAUCAGAUAAGGACAUAUCAUCCCAACACCAACAUAUGUUGCCGAGAAGUCAAAGUAAAACCUGGUCGAUUGGAGAAAUAAGUCGAAAGAUUAAAAUGAUAAACAGGUAAAAGUUAGCUAUACGAGUUGAGAUGUCCUACUGAGAGAACAAAUAAAUAUUACCUGUUCUCGUAGGCUUUGAGGCCGAAUGUGGGAAAAUUCACAAAACCGCAGCCAUCUCCUGCUGUGAAAAACCACUGGAAGAAACCCCAUAAGAAGCUAAAACUGAAAAACUUUCCCAGAGCUUUUACUUGUUUCCUGCAGUUAGCAUUAAGGAAAAAAAAAGAAUUAGUACUUUCAUUUAUAAGUAACGCUCGUCCAUAUACAAAAGACUCACUUGGCUAGCUUAGCUCCUUGCGGCGUAUGGAAACUGUUGAUCAGGUGAGCAGUUGCAGUUCCACUUGGAUAAAUCAGUUUGAAGUCUAUGAUCAUAAUCUGAAACAUAUAUACAUGCAUUAUCUCAAUACCGCAAUUUAUAUUUUAUCUGAACAAAGAAUUAUAACUGCAUCAAUUGUGAGCCAUUCAUUCCAAAACUACUAUGGUACAUCUCCAACUUUUGAAUCUUUUCUCUACCUCUCAAAAAAAAAAAAAAAAACGGAUGAAAAUCAUAUCUUAUGAAAAGGAAAAAGGUCAAAAUUUUCCCUGUACUACACAAAAUUUCCUCACUUUGUCCUCUAUUACGAUUUAAGUCUGUUCAUAUCCUUGUCGACAACAAACCAAAAGGCAGCCCCGGUGCACAAGACAUCCCGCAUUACGCAGGGCUGGGGGAAGGGCAAGACUUUAAGGGGUGAGCUGUAGACAACCUACUCUAAUACAAGUAUUAACGGAUCUUUCAAGGUUUGAACCUGAUCUAUAUGGGCAACAACAACAAACAACAAACCAGUAAAAUUAGUGGAGUCGGGGAGGAUAGGAUGUACGCCUCACCCCUACCUGGAGAAGGUAGAGAGGCUGUUUCCAAAAAGCCAUCGGCUCAGGAUGACCUAAAGGGGCAAGUGUCUCGUACUAUAGGUGCAAAUUUGAACCUUUACCCCUUAUAAAAGUUUGAACAAAGUAUUGACUAUAGCUUAUAGAAGUUCCAUUGUGCUGGAAAACAUGAUAGUAUAACAUAUGAAUUAGAGAUGUUGUGAGUUAAGAAUGUACCUUACGAAGAGGAACAACUGAGAAAAGUCCAAGAAAGCUAACAACAAAAAGGAAACAAAUCAUCCAUCCCAAAGAAGGGUUCUUGAUAUUCUCUGCAGCAUUAUCUUCAUUUGACUGUUUAGCAAUAACUUCACUCAUGCCAAAAAGAUAGCUUCCAAAACCUCCUGCUCAUCAAAAAGUAAUAUGUAAAUAAACCAAAUAUGAGCUAUUGCAUUUUGAGCUGCUUUUAGCACCUUAAAAAGAACCGGAAGAGAAGAUGUUAAUUUCUCGUGUGGUUUAACGUGGUGUGAUAUUGUCCGUAUUAGGGCAAGCGCACACUCCUCACACCAUUAAGAGUACCCAAUGGUGUGAGGUUGGGUGCGGACCUUCCCUGGCGCUAGCUUGAAUGCAUGAUGCUUUAUGCAGCGGACUAGCUUUUUUUUUUUUACUUUCCAUAUGGAGCUUUGGACACGCACCCAACAAAUUCACCUGUAAAUAUCUACUGCUCAUAUUUCAAAUCAGUGGGAGCAAUCUUCUUUUCCAUCUUAUUGUUUGGACUGUUAAUUAUUUUUAAAUUCAUCAGCUAAUUAAUAGGAAAAUGCCUGAUAAGAUUUCCAAAACUUGUAGAGAUCAUAGCCCAGGUUCCAGUAACAAACAAUUUAAGAAACAUUACAGAAGGCAUAAAAUUGUCAUAUAAUUCUUUACAUUUUUUUUAGCAAUUUCUCCAAUUUUAGCAACCAUUAUUUCACUUGAAAUACACUUCAAACAAGUCUUUAAAAUUUCACAAGUAUUGAAGUUCAGUGGUGGACGUAGCACAACAACUACUUCGAGUUUAACUAUAGAUAAUUAAAUGAUUAUAAGUUUCUUUAUGUGUUUGUAUUAAAACUUUCGACAUGUUGUUAUGCACUAGUAAUGGAUUAUAACUUAUGAUUAAGAUCCUUAAUCUGGAUCUGGCCAUGUUAGUAGUCAGAACAGAAGGGUUAUUUUUUUCCAAUAUAUGCAGUUCUUCUGGAUAUACAAUAUCUCGGAUAUAGCACAUCGGAAAAAACUUUUAUCUCUAUUAUAAGGUAUAUAUUACUCUUCUCGGAUCUUGGAAUAUACUGGUUAUCAGCAUAUAAAACUACCCUUUCCAAACCUCACACUGUGAGAAUAUAUUGGAUGUCUGUCUAUACGUUAUCCUCAACACGCUCCAUACUAUGAGAAUAUACUGGACGUUUGCAUAUAUAUUAUCUUUCCCGUACCCCACACUAUGAGAAUAUCAUGGUGGUUUGCGUAUACAGUACCCUCCCCAAACCUCACACUAUAAAAAUAUAAUGGACGUUUACAUAUAUAUUAUUUUUUCCGAACCGUACAUAUUAAAAUAUAGUGAGUAUGUUGUUGUUAUUGUAUACUGUAUCACGGAUAUAAUUGUGCAAAAUGAUGAUCAACAUUAUUAGGUUGACCCACCACUUGCGGGGAUGAUGAUAACAAAGACUUAAAAUAAUGUGUAUAGCAAAUUUCCAGCUUGCGAAAGUGGUAAUCAGAUUAUUCCAACAAGUCAAGUAAAUAACACUCCUGUUGCUGCAAAGACUUUUAAAUUAGUCAAUAAUUUACACUAUUGACUAAACUCAUUAAUUAUUAAUUUACAGAAUCCAAGAAUAUACUAAUUCACCAACCUGAAUUAUUUUUUUAAAACUAUUCUACACAGAAAUUGAUAACAAAGUUUAAAUCACAAGUCAUCUUAGAAAGGGACUUACAAGUGCAAAAUAUUGAAUCGGUGAUAUUUCUAUACACUAUGGACUCCACAAAACUACAACAAAGCAAGAAGCCUAAAGAGAAAUAAACAAAUAUCCCGUGGACCAAAUUAUAAUGACAUAGUAUAUAGUCCAACAUUACAGCACACAUUAAUGGCGAUAUCACUUUGUUUCUUUCUUCAUUUAAUUGCAAAAUGAAAUAAACAUAUGCUUUGACAAAAAAUACAAUUCAAGCUUUUGUUUUCCAACCCCACCUUUAUGGAAAGUGAUUUUCACAUUAAGUAAAAACGUACUCAUCGACUAAACAAAACUCUUUUUGUGAAGUCAAACUUAAAUUGAAUUCUCUUUUAUAAUUAAUUUAAUCACUUAAAAGAUAAAUAACGGGAUUCGUCAAAGUAAAAUUAGUAACGUAAACAAAAGACAGAUUAUUUGCUACUAUUAAAAUUUUACUAGACCCUUCACUCAAGUAACAAUGCUUAUAGGAAGGAAAAAAAAAAAUUACAUCCAUAUAUUAUAUCAUACAGGUCCAACUUGGUUAUCAUAAGAAAAUAUUAAAAAAAAUUAAUAUAUGUAGAUGAAUAUAACUAAAAGUUUAAUUAUUUAUAUACUGUAAUAAAACAAUAACAGCCCGGCAAAAUUUCAUUAAUAGAAUUUGAGGAGAAUAAUAUAUAGAUGAACCUUAUUCAUUUUAUACACUAAUAAUAGUAGUACUAUAUUAGUCACUUGAAAAAAUAAUUACAAUUAGCAACUCGACAAAUAAGAUGGUUAAGCUACACUGACAAUAUUAUUACACUACCAGUUAAAUCUCGUAAAAGUUACGAAAACAUCAAUAACAACAAAUUUAGUAUGCUUUUAUGAGUGGGGUUUAGAGAGGUGAGUAUAUGCACAACUUUAUUUUUUCUUACGAAGCUAAAAAGGUUGUUUUUAAUAAAUAAUCCGUUAAAAAAACAAAAUCUUAUAAAAGUUAAUCAUGUUUAAUUUGCAUAAUUUUUUGAGUAGGAUAUAAAGACCGGAUGAAAUCAAACUAAAGAAUUACUUACCACUAAAUGCUAUGCCAGAAGUUGCAACAACACAAGUCUGAAUAACUGUAUUUUCUUGACGAGUAAAUGGCUGUUUUAGCCAACCAGAUUUCUCAAGAAACUUAGUCCAAGUUUUGACAAAGAAGAAUCCCAAAAGACCAGCAGAAACAUUAAGAGAAGGGAUAAUUCCAGUAGUAAGAUUUAACUUCAUAACAAUGAAAGUGAAUAGAACUCCCAAUACAAAGCUCACAAAAAAUGCUCUGAAUGUUAAUUGACUUUGCCAUGUUGGAACUUCUUUUGACUCAAAAAUUCUUUCUACAGAUAGUGUAGAUUCUUCUUCUUGUUCUGAUUCUAAAUGGGAUUCAUUGGUUUUUUUGGCAAGAAAAUCAACUUGAGAAUUUGUUGAGUAUUCAUUAGAAGAAUAUGGUUCUCUCCUAUUAUUACUGUUGGAUCUAUCCAUGGUUUUUGUGGUGUAUACAAAAAGUAUACUCUUUUUUUGUGGGGUUGUUUAAUUUGCUUUGUUUUCUUGAAAUGAGGAUUGGUAUUUAUUGAAUUGAAGAAGAAAGGUGAACAAAAAUGCGUGCUGCUAAGUGGGUCACACUAUAUUGUAUACUAUAAGAUUUUUUCAUAUCCAAAUAAAUGGAAAUGGUUGUCCUUAUAAGGUGGAGGGUGCGUGGAAUUGGUGAGGCGUGAGGGGNNNNNNNNNNNNNNNNNNNNNNNNNNNNNNNNNNNNNNNNNNNNNNNNNNNNNNNNNNNNNNNNNNNNNNNNNNNNNNNNNNNNNNNNNNNNNNNNNNNNNNNNNNNNNNNNNNNNNNNNNNNNNNNNNNNNNNNNNNNNNNNNNNNNNNNNNNNNNNNNNNNNNNNNNNNNNNNNNNNNNNNNNNNNNNNNNNNNNNNNNNNNNNNNNNNNNNNNNNNNNNNNNNNNNNNNNNNNNNNNNNNNNNNNNNNNNNNNNNNNNNNNNNNNNNNNNNNNNNNNNNNNNNNNNNNNNNNNNNNNNNNNNNNNNNNNNNNNNNNNNNNNNNNNNNNNNNNNNNNNNNNNNNNNNNNNNNNGGGGUGAAUAUAACCAUCAUAUGGCAUUACUGUAAUCGUUUUAUAUGAAAUAUUGAAUUGAACGCUUUCUUGAUAGAGAUGUAGAUGGUUUUGUUUUCAUCGUUUCAAUUUACGUGACACUAUUAUUAUUGAUGGGAUAAAAAAAAUUUCAUUACUUUUUAAAAUAUUUAAUCUAUUAAUUAUUAUAAUUUAUAACAAUUUUUAUAAUAUAAUUUUAAAUAUAUAAAGCUUAUUUCAAAACACUCAUAAAUCGCAAAUCAAGUUGACAUUAAAAAUUACUCCCUGCGUCCCAUUAUAUGAGAUGGGAUAUGGAAUACGAGGUCAAACUAUUUAACUUAAGUGUAAAUUCUGACAUAAUAUCUCUAAAUUUUUGAAAUAAAAUUUAAGUAUUUGAAAUUAUAUAAAAAUUAUAAGUCAUAAUAAUUAAUAAUUUGAAAUAUUCAAAAGACAUGUAAGAAAAUCACAUUCAAAGAAAAGUCUCUUGACUCUCCAAAGCGUAAUCGUGUGGACAGAGCGAAUAAGUAAUUUACCUCUUAUAGCAUGUGUUUAGGAGGCAAGGUGGGUAAGGUCGAGGGCGAGGGAUGCGGACGGAUAUAGACUUUGGUACUCAGCAUUCCAGAAGGGUAAGAAUGGAGCGGAAAUCUUGGUGAAUAGAGAAUUUAGAGAGUCUGUGGUUGAAAUUAGACUAGUGAAUGAUAUAUUGAUGAUUAUUAAGUUGGUGGUUGGAGAGCUCAUCCUAAACUUUAUUAGCGCCUAUUCGCUGCAUGUGAGCCUAGAUAAGGAGGUUAAACUGCGCUUCUGGGAUGGGUUAGAUGAGGUUUCGCGCUAGGUUCCGCCUACUGAGAAAUUCAUAGGAGGAGAUUUCAAUGGUCAUACUGGGUCGACCACCGGUGGUUAUAGUGAGGGGUAUGGAGGCUUCAAUUUUAGGGAGAAGAAUGGAUGAGGUACCUCGUUGUUGGACUUCGCUAAGGCUUUUAGGUUGGUGAUUAAGAACUCUAGCCUUCCGAAGAGGGAAGAACAUUUGGUUACUUUUCAAAAUGCAGUGGCGAAGAUUCAGAUUGAUUAUCUCCUCUUCAUAAGAUGUGGCAGAGGGUUAUUUCUUUUAAAAGAAGAUUAGAGGACGAAAGAAGAAGCUCUUACAUCGGAUAAAGCCUAAUUCCACUGUCCUUUGAAGAUUAGAAGAUAGUGAAGGCCGAUUUCCUUUUUAAAGAUCACUCAACGAUGUGGCAAAUCCCCUUUUUUAAGUCUAUGAAUUGGAAGCAGGAAAGACUCUUCUUGAAAGCGAGUUCAGUGGCUCUCUGGUGAGGGGCACGAACGGUAUAACAUAGUUGCCACGAAGACACUUUUUUUUUUCUCUUUCUGUUUUUGAGGUCUGAUCCGAAGGUAAACUCUAGACACAUCGCACAUGCGAUUGACGGCUUUUGGAUCGAAGGAGAAGCUAGGGUUCAAAAGGGCCAAUGAAACUGCUAGUGGACUGACUUUCUAGGCCUUCUCUCUUGCAAAUGAACUAAAGGCUAGGCGCCUCAGGGAAAUGUAUAGUGCUGCGGGAGUCCGUUCACCUUGAAGUGGAACUGUUGUGGCGGGGAAUGUCACUAGUUGUGAUGCUUGCUGCUCUGGUUCCCUUUCGCCCCUCUUACAACACAAGAAAGAAGGUGAGAGUAAGCACGACUUUCUUCUUCUCUUAACUAUAUCCUAGUUAAGAGAAGAAGAAAGUCUAGCCGGAAUAAGGCCUAAGGGGAAGUACGUAAUACAGAUCACAUGGUCUUUUACUGAUCCUCUUUCGAGCUGUCGAGUGACAAUUGGCCGAGGGGCCCUUUUUUCUUUUAUAAGGGAAGAGAUUGUAGCUGGGUACAAAUAGGCCGGGACGAGUAGGCAAGCACGCGGGUUGUACCGGUCAGCUUUGAGCUGUCGAGUGACGAUUGCUCCAUCUCUUAAGAAAGGACGCGGGGGGCCUGUCUUAUAAUAAAGGGGGUACUCUAGACGAGUAGGCAAGCAGGCGGGUUGUACCGGUCAGCUUUGAGCUGUCGAGUGACGAUUGCUCCAUCUCUUAAGGAAGGAUGCGGGGAGCCUGUCUUAUAAUAAAGGGGGUACUCUCUUCUCUGAUGUGCGCUAUAUUAUUGUGGCCUAUUCCUUAAGGAGUGAUCCGGGAUUAAGCCACGUGGCGAUACCCGCCAAAAGAAAGGGGGCCUUUCGUACGGAUUGGAGUACGAAGAUAAUUAUUCAGCACACUAAAAUCUAGUGGAUGGGGUUCCAUAUUCAUGAAAAGCCGGGGUUGAAACAUGUUAUGAAACUAAGACAACAAUUAUUUCUAAUUGGAUUGGAGUACGAUGAUAAUUAUUCGGCGCACUAAAAUCUAGUAGAUGGGGUUCCAUAUUCAUGACUUUCAUACUUCUGACGUCGACUCAUCUUGCUUGGAAGUCUUAUGAAUGCAGCAAAAACUAAGGGUUCCUCUACAGUCAAUUGUGGAAAAAGCACAUCAUCUUGUGUCACGAAACCCACCUAGCACACCAUUGCUCAAUUCGGUAUGGAAGUUAAUACAAAAUCAUGUACAUUGAAAGAAAGACUUUUCUAUAUUCUUGGUUUGCUUUGGGCCCAGGAAAAGAAGGGAAUGAGCUCGGCUGCUUCUCCUCAACACUUUUUUUUCUCCGUGCCCGUUCCGCAUGCGCUUCGCGCGCCAUUGGCUCUUUGCUCUCCUCUUAUUCUUCAUUGGACGGUUCGGAUGGACUUCGCCGUUCUUUCCCAACAAAAAUCGAAAGGGCUGUAUCACAUCGAGAUGUCGAUUAGACGGUUUGGAUGGACUUCGCCGUUCUUUCCCAACAAAAAUCGAAAGGGUUGUAUCACAUCGAGAUGUCGAUUCGUUCCCUAUUUAUACUUUUGGGCCCUUCAUCUUUCUGAAUUGAGACCCGGCCCGGCUCGCGUCCUUCCAACAACCAGCGGGGAGCACCUCAGUAUAUGAUAUUGCGCAGUAACUGGGAGUCCUAUUACACCUAAGGCCAACUUCAAUUCACCAAACCAAGGUUCAUCUCGUGUAGUCAUUGUGGACUCGUACAAGGAUAUUGAGUAGACGGUUGAUGUAUCAGACUCGACCCUAUCUUUCGUAGCAUGCAUUCCCAUCCGUGUCGCAACUGAUUCGGUAAGCUACGUGUCCGGUGCACGAAUUCAUUGUGGACUCGUACAAGGACCCUUUAGAGAUAGGGGCGAGCAAAAGAGCUCGUUCUUCCAUUUUGAGAUCUUUAGAUUCGUAUGAUCAUAAUAGAGUCCCUUUACUUUCUAUUAUAUUAGUCAAGAGCUAGCGCCCUACAACUACUAUAGUAUAGCAGAGCAGCCAGCUUCAAAGCUUACCCGAUUCUAAAAAGAAGUAUUAUUAUAAAAGAGAAAGGUUAGGGGGCUGAGAAACUCUUGCUUGCUGCUUGCUGUCUACUUUGCGAGCCUUCACUUCCCUGUUCUGUAACUUCCUUUUUUUCGUCCGUCCACAACUCUGUAAUAAGAGAGAAAGGGGCGGCUAUCUAGCGGGAGUCGUUUCGGUUGUAUGCCACGAGGUCCCUAUGGACAAGGGGACAAGUGAAUCAUCGCUUUUGGGCGCAGGCAGCCCUCUACCAUCUAUCCCAUUGCAUUCCAUCGUCUCGUAUUGUACUGUGCCGUAUCAGACCAGAUAGAUCUAUUGAGUGAGAGAAAGGGAGAAAACUCUAAUUAGAUAUUCUUUUUAUAUUGAUAGGGAUCCCCAUUCAUUCCUAGAUUCCCGUCACUACGGACUGAUUGUCCCUACCUAACUACAUGGUAGUGGUCUAGGGAGCGCAAUUGCUAGAGCACGGGAGAAUUAAGAGUAAUGAUUUCAGCAAGAGCAGCA
rnacentral:lncRNA from 1 species